rnacentral:lncRNA from 1 species
UGAACAACAACAACAACAACAACCGUUGAGCCAGGUCUCCUUCCAGCAGCCUCAGCAACAAUAUCCAUCAGGCCAGGGCUCCUUCCAGCCAUCUCAGCAAAACCCACAGGCCCAGGGCUCUUUCCAGCCUCAACAACUGCCCCAGUUUGAGGAAAUAAGGAACCUAGCGCUACAGACGCUACUUGCAAUGUGCGAUGUCUAUAUCCCUCCAUAUUGCACCAUUGCUCCAUUUGGCAUCUUUGGUACUAACUGAGAAGAGAAGAACUCUAGUAGUAGAUAUAUGAUACACCGUUUUCUUAGUCCAUGGUUUGGUCGUUGUAGCGGUGAAAAAAUAAAGUGACAUGCACUAUCAUGUAAGAACCCGAACUAUACUAGUUCAAACUUGGGAAUAAAAGACAAACACAGGUCUUGUCUACAUAUGAUUGUUUGUUUGAGUUCCACUCAUGUGCCCAUUCACAAGUUCACCCCUAAUUAUAUAUAUUAUGCAUUAAGUAGAUAUUUAUGUUGCAUUAAUCUAAAGAUAACAAAAUGAGUCUGAAAUUUGAAUUAAAUUGAAGUAUUUCCUUGGACUUUCAAAUGGAGUAUUAUUAAAGUAGUAAGGACUAUCCUCAUCCUUGGCUUGCCCUUGAUCAAUUAUUUCCAGAGAAGCAUUCAAUUCGUCAAUCAAUUACAUUGAUUUUUGCAGCCGGUACUUCUCCUCAACAUGAGUAUAUUCAUCGCGGCUACUCCAAAUCGGCAUGAAUGAGGUACCGGUGCUCUGGAGCACUAGUACCUAACAGCUUCUCAUGUGAAGGGGUGCGGGCACGGGAGAGGUGUUUUUGGUGGGCCAGGGGAGUAAGAAGCGGCCGUGGCAGCGGUGCAGACACCCACAAAGCCCCGUAGUUUGUUUUUCGUUUACAGGAAAAUGCACAUCCAGACCGGCCUGCGGGCCGAUAUAGGACCGUAUUGGAUGGCAAAACAUGUCCGGAUGGUUGCGAGCGGUUUGAGGGUUAGCUUUUGUAACGCCCGGUUAGUUAUGCUAUUGUAAUUCCCUGCUAAUGAUGUCACGUAACCACGAUUACUAUUGUUAACCUCACAAUGAUUCAAUCCCAUUCAAAUUCAAAUUUAAAAUAAAGGCAAACAUCAAAAUUUCCAAACAUUAAAACUUAAAUCUUCGAGAGGUGGAAAAUAAUGCAUAAGUAAUUAUGGUGGAGAAACCACACUUUUAUAAAAUGUUUAAAUACUGUAAAAGAAUAAACAGUGGCUUAAACUAUUAUUUAAAUCCUUUUAAAAUAGUAAAAAUGUUCUAACUAAAUUAAUUGGGUACCAAACUUUUGGUGGCAGUGGUAUAUUUAGUAGAACUAAUUUAGAUGCUAAUUAUAUAAUUUACAAAAUUAAAGUAAAUUGAAAAAUAGGAUAAAACAUAAAAGGAAAGACAAAAUAAAUAAAAGCAAAAGGGGGCAACCCCUCGCUGGGCCUCGGCCUAACUGGCCACUGGGCUAGCUAGGCCGGCCCAGCCGCCUCCCUUAACCCCCCACUCCCCAUCGAACCCUGGCCCGAUCGCCCCACUUCCCCCACACCCCGUCGUCAGCCUCCCCACCUGUCGAUCCCAUCUGGAUCGGGGAGGGGAUCGCCCCCAUCAACCCCGUCGCCGUCUCCGGAUCGCCCGCUCGCCCAUCGCCCGCCGGAGUCGCCGGGCCUCCUCCCUGCCGCCCGUCUCCGGCUCGCCUCCUCUCUCGCUCCUCUUCCCUGACCCAAUCUGGAUCGGGAAGGGGCAAUGCGCCCGACGCCCCCCUUCACCGACGCCGUGCGCCAACACCGCCGCCCGAAGACCUCGCCGUCACCGGACCUCGCGUCGCCUCCUCGUAUCCCUCCCCGCCUCGCCUCAAGCCAUGACGACCCCCUUCUCGGCAACGCUGUGAGCCGCCCCCGUUUCCCUCCUCCUCUUUCCACCGCGUUCACAGCGUCGCCCGCCGUGCCCCUCGCCGCGCGCUCGCCCACCACCGCGCCAGCCCCGGUCCGCGCCCUCUCCUGCAUGCUUGCGUGCGCAUGACCCUAGCCGCGCCUGCGCCGUGAUCCCCUUAUCCNNNNNNNNNNNNNNNNNNNNNNNNNNNNNNNNNNNNNNNNNNNNNNNNNNNNNNNNNNNNNNNNNNNNNNNNNNNNNNNNNNNNNNNNNNNNNNNNNNNNNNNNNNNNNNNNNNNNNNNNNNNNNNNNNNNNNNNNNNNNNNNNNNNNNNNNNNNNNNNNNNNNNNNNNNNNNNNNNNNNNNNNNNNNNNNNNNNNNNNNNNNNNNNNNNNNNNNNNNNNNNNNNNNNNNNNNNNNNNNNNNNNNNNNNNNNNNNNNNNNNNNNNNNNNNNNNNNNNNNNNNNNNNNNNNNNNNNNNNNNNNNNNNNNNNNNNNNNNNNNNNNNNNNNNNNNNNNNNNNNNNNNNNNNNNNNNNNNNNNNNNNNNNNNNNNNNNNNNNNNNNNNNNNNNNNNNNNNNNNNNNNNNNNNNNNNNNNNNNNNNNNNNNNNNNNNNNNNNNNNNNNNNNNNNNNNNACCAAGACCCACAUCCCCUAAUUAACCAUUUAAUAAAUUUAAACUCUUAAAUUAACAUUAGUGUAUGACAUGUGGGUCCCCUAUUAAUUAAACUAAUUUAAUUAAAAUCUAUUAACUUCAAGUCUAUGACAUAUGGGCCCCACUGAACAUUUGACCAGUCAACGGUCCAGUCAAAUGUUGACCGGAUAGUUGACCAGAGGGCCCCACCAGUCAGCCUCUGUGCUGUUCUCCUGGGUACCUUUCUGAGUACACCUAGCAUUUUGCAUUUACAAUAUUUGUUUUAAAAUAAAUUAGAAUAAUUUCAAAAAAAUGAUUGAAACUUUUAAAAUUAAAAAAAAUUAUCCGUAACUCGGAUGAAAUUACUUUAUACAUGGAAGUUGCUCAAAAAAUGAGACGAAUCCUAAUACACAGUCCGUUCUUCUGCCACACGUCCCUAGCAUAGCGAACAUGCAACCACCCCCCUCCGGUUCGACUGUCCGAAAAUGUCAAACACCGGGAAUACUUUUCCGGAUGUUUCCCCUUCACUAGUAGCACCUAGUACCGCGUGAGGCAUACCUAGCACCACUUAUUGUAAUGUCAUGCAUCGUCAUGCAUCUGUUUGCAUUGUAUUCAUUGUUUCUUGCUCCUCUUCUCUCCGGUAGACUACGAGACUGACGCCGGUGCUGCCCCGGUCGAUUACGGUGUCCAUGACCCCUCCUUGUCAGCAGAGCUUCCAGGCAAGCAAACCCCCUUGAUCAUCCCGAUAUCGCCUACUCUUUCCUCUACUGCUUGCAUUAGAGUAUUGUUACUGUUUGUCGGUUUGAUCCUAUACUGCUGCAUGGCCUGUCUUUGAUACUACUUAUGUGUUAUUUGUUAGUACGCUUGGAGAAAAUGCCUUUGAUUAGGGCAUCUUCAACAGCGACCAGUAAAUUUCCUCCCGCGUUCGUCCACGAAUAGGGGAUCAGUCCGCGGACACGGAUACAGGAAUUGGCCAUCCAACAAUGUCCGCAUAUAUUUAAAACACUUAAAAAAUAGGAUGAAAUUCAUGCAAACACAGUGGAUUUCAUACAAACCGGACAAAAAUGUUUACAUUUUGGACAUUUUUUUUUUACUAAAAACUCUACAGCCGGUGCCGGCGAAUAUCCACUCCGGCAACAUGGAUACCCUUGACUAGUCUACUGCCGGCCGCAGCAGAUCUCCAAUGUCGUCCCCAUGUUCGGCAGCUGUGAGCCCUAGAGGUAUAUGCUUCAGCGCAAAGAGCGGCUCGCCUCCUACCGCUCAUCGGAGUGGAACAACCAGUUGAUGCUUCUGCCGAUGGGGAAGGGUCCCUACGCUACACGAAUUAGAGUUGGUUUUGGGUUGGGGGAACGGCGGUGGCCUGUCAGAGGGCAAGACACCGACUGUGUACGCUGGUGUCACCUGGUGUGGCAUUCAUGGGACCCAAGCGGCAGCGCCUCCUCAAUGAUGGCAGCGAGCGCGGACGUGUUGGACACCACCUCGUCGAUGUCCGUGCAGCCCGCUUCUUUCUCUGUAGGAAGGACGCGGUUACGCUCGCGUUGACAUCGGAUGACUCGGUCACAUGCACGAGAGGGGCGGUACAACAUGGCACCGUCAAUGGCAGCCAUGAUGCCCGCGCCACCGUGGUCCCUCCCAGUGCCGACCUGGAGCAACUUGCCACUCCUCGGCUCGUGACCGGCGGGCUUUACGGGCCACCUAGCCAUUUUUUAUGCCAGCCAACUCUUCUUCCUGCUCGUCAGAUGUCAUGGAGAAAACUGUUCAAGGAGGAAAAUGAUGAGUGGACGUGUGAUGCGCUUCUUGCCCAACAUCUGACAUUGUUUAAAUAGCGAGGGGACACGAGAGGAGCCAACCGGCGUUCUGUUCAAUGCCAACUGGCUCGCGAACGAACAUGUGGCCGGAGUAAUUAUCCUGGCACACACGCGGGUUUAAUGGUGGAAGGCGGGCAGUCUGCAGGAAUGAGGUGAGGAUGCGUGUUUAGCCGGCGUGCAGCGGGCAGCGCCCUCGGCCGGCGUGCUGCUUCCAUUGCGGAGGUAGUGAGAGGUCGCGUCCGCUCUGCAGCGCAUGAAUGCGGGCAGCUGGCGCAGAGCGGGAACGCGUGCAUGGUUUGGGUGGGCACGGGUGGUGAGAAGAGGUCAUGGGUGUUGUCCGAACGCCUGGAAAGCCCCCCCUCCAUGUUUGUCUCCGGUUUACGGGAGAAAGUACGUCCGGACCGUUUGAUGGACCAAUACAGGCCCGCAUUGGAUGGCACAACACGUCCGGACCAUGUGGUCCGGAUGGUUGUGGACGGUUUAAUUGAGGGUCGACGUUGGAGAUGCCUUAGAGUUUAUGAAUCCAUUGUGUUUUUUAAUCAUAAAAAGCACUUAUAACAAGUUAUAAGGAAAGACACGUUUAUAUGUUAGGUUCGGACUCCAGCUUUCCUCUUACAUAUGCUUUAUUGUGAUCCGACUGAUUCCAAUAGAGUGAGCCUAGCGUUGUUUUUCUGGAAACUUGCGGGAUAAGGAGACAUGCAUACACAUUCAUUCAAGCAAAUCACAUCCAUUCUUUUUAACUCAUUUUUCUUCUUUUAAUAAUAUAAUAGAUCAUUUAUAUUUUUAUCUCAAACAGUUGACGUGUAAUUUAUACUGUAAUCUGAGGAUAAUGUUUGGAUUUACUUUCAAAUAUAUUUGAAAUGGCCAUGAUGGAAUCACAUCCAUUUAUUUUAUUAUUAUUUGAAUUUGAUCCAAAAGAUAAAUAAUGAGUAGAGGUCAUGUCAACUUUUCUGAGAACUUUGCUAAUCAAAAUAUAAUUUGUAUUUAAAAACAUCUUUUUAGCACGCAUGAAAAACAUAACGCCUAUCUUUUCACACAUGAUGAACGGUUGUCAUAAGAACUCAUGGCAUGCCACAAGCUCCCUCCGACCCUGCCAACAUUGUUACAGCUGCACUCGCAAGCUUUAUCGUAGAUGAUCAUUUAUACGAUUUGCGUAAAUCAAAAUAAGAUCUACAAACGAAUAGAAGCUAGAACGUACCUUGGCAUGCACACACAUUGCAAGCCAUACUAAGCUGAUAAGUGUUAAUAACUUCUACAACAUAUACAACACUUAAGACAAGUAAAAGCAAUUUGAUGAGUCAUGGUCUAUCAAAGGCACAUUACUAGUCUAAUCCAUCUUAACAGGUCACACAUGAUUAAAACCUUGUUUGUGUGCAAGUCAAGCUUAUCUAGUUUACAUGUAACAACUUGUAGAACAUUACAAAAUUUAUGUUUGCUAAUAACCUCUAGAACACUACAACACUUGACAUGUAAAAGGAAUUUGAUGAGUCAUGGCCUACUAAAGCAAGUUAUAUUACUAGUCUUAUCUACCUUAACAGGCCACACAAGAUUACAAACUAAGUUCUGUGCUAGCCAUGCUUAUCUAGUUUAUGCGUAACAAUUUGCAGAAAAUUACAAACUUAGUUUCAGAAAAAUAGGCAAUCUAGAUUAGUGUUUGAGCUGUAAAGUGAAUAAGAUGAGUCAUGUGUGUUAUCACACCUUUUUGGUUGUGGAAUAAUAGUGCAACAACAAGGAACUUUAAUGACCAGUCCAAGAAUACACUUGUAAGUAGUGCCACCGAACACAACAUGCCAAAUUUUGAUUUUGAGAAGCAUCCAAACACUUCCACACAAGCAAAUGCCAAUUGUGAAAGAGAUCAUGCCAUGGCAGCUAUAAAUAGGCCCGUAGCAUGACGAUCAUCCUUCCUCAUCCAUCAUUCUCAUAAGUAGAGCGCAUCAUUUAAGCCAAGCAAGCAGUGCUCAAUACAAAUCCACCAUGAAGACCUUUCUCAUCCUUGCCCUCCUUGCUAUUGUGGCGACCACCGCCACAACUGCAGUUAGAGUUCCAGUGCCACAAUUGCAGCUACAAAAUCCAUCUCAGCAACAGCCACAAGAGCAAGUUCCAUUGGUACAAGAACAACAAUUUCCAGGGCAGCAACAACCAUUUCCACCACAACAGCCAUAUCCGCAGCCGCAACCAUUUCCAUCACAACAACCAUAUCUGCAGCUGCAACCAUUUCCACAGCCGCAACUACCAUAUCCGCAGCCGCAACCAUUUCGACCACAACAACCAUAUCCACAGCCGCAACCACAGUAUUCGCAACCACAACAACCAAUUUCGCAGCAGCAGCAGCAGCAGCAGCAACAACAACAACAACAACAACAAAUCCUACAACAAAUUUUGCAACAACAACUGAUUCCAUGCAGGGAUGUUGUAUUGCAACAACACAACAUAGCGCAUGGAAGCUCACAAGUUUUGCAAGAAAGUACUUACCAGCUGGUGCAACAAUUGUGUUGUCAGCAGCUGUGGCAGAUCCCCGAGCAGUCGCGGUGCCAAGCCAUCCACAAUGUUGUUCAUGCUAUUAUUCUGCAUCAACAACACCACCACCACCAACAACAACAACAACAACAACAACAACAACCGUUGAGCCAAGUCUCCUUCCAACAGCCUCAGCAACAAUAUCCAUCAGGCCAGGGCUUCUUCCAACCAUCUCAGCAAAACCCACAGGCCCAGGGCUCUUUCCAGCCUCAACAACUGCCCCAGUUUGAGGCAAUAAGGAACCUAGCGCUACAGACGCUACCUGCAAUGUGCAAUGUGUAUAUCCCUCCAUAUUGCACCAUUGCUCCAUUUGGCAUCUUCGGUACUAACUGAGAAGAGAAGAACUCUAGUAGUAGAUAUAUGAUACACCGUUUUCUUAGUCCAUGGUUUGGUCGUUGUAGCGGUGAAAAAAUAAAGUGACAUGCACUAUCAUGUAAGAACCUGAACUAUACUAGUUCAAACUUGGGAAUAAAAGACAAACACAGGUCUUGUCUACAUAUGAUUGUUUGUUUGAGUUCCACUCAUGUGCCCAUUCACAAGUUCACCCCUAAUUAUAUAUAUUAUGCAUUAAGUAGAUAUUUAUGUUGCAUUAAUCUAAAGAUAACAAAAUGAGUCUGAAAUUUGAAUUAAAUUGAAGUAUUUCCUUGGACUUUCAAAUGGAGUAUUAUUAAAGUAGUAAGGACUAUCCACAUCCUUGGCUUGCCCUUGAUCAAUUAUUUGCUGAGAAGCAUUCAAUUCGUCAAUCAAUUACAUUGAUUUUUGUGGCUGGUACUUCUCCUCAACAUGAGUAUAUUCAUCGUGGCUACUCCAAAUCGGCAUGAAUGAGGUACCGGUGCUCUGGAGCACUAGUACCUAACAGCUUCUCAUGUGAAGGGGUGCGGGCACGGGAGAGGUGUUUUUGGUGGGUCAAGGGAGUAAGAAGCGGCCGUGGCAGCGGUCCAGACGCCCACAAAGCCUCGUAGUUUGUUUUUGGUUUACAGGAAAAUGCACAUCCAGACUGGCCUGCGGGCCGAUAUAGGACCGUAUUGGAUGGCAAAACAUGUCCAGAUGGUUGUGAGCGGUUUGAGGGUUAGCUUUUGUAACGCCCGGUUAGUUAUGCUAUGGUAGUUCCCUGCUAAUGAUGUCACGUCACCACGAUUACUGUUGUUAACCUCACAAUGAUUCAAUCCCAUUCAAAUCCAAAUUUAAAAUAAAGGCAAACAUCAAAAGUUUCAAACAUUAAAACUAAAAUCUUCGAGAGGUGAAAAAUAAUGCAUAAGUAAUUAUGGUGGAGAAACCACACUUUUAUAAAAUGUUUAAAUACUCUAAAAGGAAUAAAACAGUGGCUUAAACUAUUAUUUAAAUGCUUUUAAAAUAGUAAAAAUGUUCUAACUAAAUUAAUUGGGUACCAAACUUUUGGUGGCAGUGGUAUAUUUAGUAGAAAAAAUUUAGAUGCUAAUUAUAUAAUUUACAAAAUUAAAGUAAAUUAAAAAAUAGGAUAAAACAUAAAAGGAAAGACAAAACAAAUAAAAGCAAAAGGGGGCAACCCCUCACUGAGCCUCGGCCUAGCUGGCCACUAGGCUAGCUAGGCCGGCCCAGCCGCCUCCCUUAACCCCCCACUCCCCAUCGAACAAUAGCCCGAUCGCCCCACUUCCCCCACACCCCCUCGUCAGCCUCCCCACCUCUCGAUCCCAUCUGGAUCGGGGAGGGGAUCGCCCCCAUCGACCCCGUCGCCAUCGCCGGAUCACCCGCUCGCCCAUCGCCCGCCGGCGUCGCCGGGCCUCCUCCCCGCCGCCCGUCUCCGGCUCUCCUCCCCUCUCGCUCCUCUUCCCCGACCCGAUAUGGAUCGAGAAGGGGCAAUGAGCCCGACGCCCCCCUCCACCGACGUUGUGCGCCAGCACCGCCACCCGAAGACCUCGUCGUCGCCGGACCUCGCGUCGCCUCCUCGUAUCUCUCCCCGACUCGCCUCCUCAAGCCACGCCGACCCCCUUCUCGGCAACGCUGUGAGCCGCCCCCGUUUCCCUCCUUCUCUUUCCACCGUGUUUGAUAAGUCUCCAACGUAUCUAUAAUUUUUGAUUGUUCCAUGCUAUAUUAUAUUCUGUUUUGGAUGAUUAAUGGGAUUUAUUAUACACUUUUAUAUUAUUUUUGGGACUAACCUAUUAACCGGAGGCCCAGCCCAAAUUGCUGUUUUUUUGCCUAUUUCAGUGUUUCGCAGAAAAAGAAUAUCAAACGGAGUCCAAACGGAAUGAAACCUUCGGGAAUGUGAUUUUCGGAACAAACGUGAUCCAGAGGACUUGGAGUGGACGUCAAGCAACAGACGAGGAAGCCACGAGGUAGGGGCGCGCCUACCCUCCUGGGCGCGCCCUCCACCCUCAUGGGCCCCUCGUGGCUCCACUGACCUACUUCUUCCUCCUAUAUAUACCUACGUACCCCCAAACCAUCAGAAGCGACCACAAAAACCUAAUUCCACCGCCGCAACCUUCUGUACCCGUGAGAUCCCAUCUUAGGGCCUUUUCCGGCGUCCUGCCGGAGGGGGCAUUGAUCACGGAGGGCUUCUACAUCAACACCAUAGCCUCUCCGAUGAUGUGUGAGUAGUUUACCUCAGACCUUCGGGUCCAUAGUUAUUAGCUAGAUGGCUUCUUCUCUCUCUUUGGAUCUCAAUACAAAGUUCUCCUCGUUUCUCUUGGAGAUCUAUUUGAUGUAACUCUUCUUUUUGCGGUGUGUUUGUCGAGAUCCGAUGAAUUGUGGGUUUAUGAUCAAGAUUAUCUAUGAACAAUAUUUGAAUCUCCUCUGAAUUCUUUUAUGUAUGAUUGGUUAUCUUUGCAAGUCUCUUCGAAUUAUCAGUUUGGUUUGGCCUACUAGAUUGAUCUUUCUUGCAAUGGGAGAAGUGCUUAGCUUUGGGUUCAAUCCUGCGGUGUCCUUUCCCAGUGACAGCAGGGGCAGCAAGGCACGUAUUGUAUUGUUGCCAUCGAGGAUAAAAAGAUGGGGUUUAUAUCAUGUUGCAUGAGUUUAUCCCUCUACAUCAUGUCAUCUUGCUUAAAGCGUUACUCUGUUUUUAUGAACUUAAUACUCUAGAUGCAUGCUGGAUAGCGGUCGAUGUGUGGAGUAAUAGUAGUAGAUGCAGAAUCGUUUUGGUCUACUUGUCACGGACGUGAUGCCUAUAUACAUGAUCAUACCUAGAUAUUCUCAUAACUAUGCUCAAUUCUAUCAAUUGCUCGACAGUAAUUCGUUUACCCACCAUAAUACUUAUGCUCUUGAGAGAAGCCACUAGUGAAACCUAUGGCCCCCGGGUCUAUUUUCCAUCAUAUUAAUCUUCCGUCAACAAGCUAUUUCUAUCUUUAUUUACCUUGUAAUCUUUACUUUUACUCUUUAUCAUAAAAAUACCAAAAAUAUUAUCUUAUCAUCUCUAUCAGAUCUCACUCUCGUAAGUGACCGUGAAGGGAUUGACAACCCCUUUAUCGCGUUGGUUGCGAGGUUCUUAUUUGUUUGUGUAGGUGCGUGGGACUUGAGUGUGGCCUCCUACUGGAUUGAUACCUUGGUUCUCAAAAACUGAGGAAAAUACUUACGCUACUUUACUGCAUCACCCUUUCCUCUUCAAGGGAAAACCAACGCAGUGCUCAAGAGGUAGCAAGAAGGAUUUCUAGCACCGUUGCCGGGGAGUCUACGCACAAGUCAAGACAUACCAAGUACCCGUCACAAACUCUUAUCCCUCGCAUUACAUUAUUUGCCAUUUGCCUCUCGUUUUCCUCUCCCCCACUUCACCCUUGCCGUUUUAUUCGCCUCCUUUUCGUUUGCUUCUUGUUUGCUCGUGUGUUGGAUUGCUUGUUUGUCGCGAUGGCUCUACCUAGAUUUGGUGAUCUUCCAUUAAAAGGUUAGAAGAGAUUGAAAGCAACGUCAGAAGUUUCAUGACUUUACAAUUUGAGCAUAACAAUUUCUUUAGAAACGAGCUUAAGGAACAAAAAAGCUUUAUGGGUUACAUGAAUAAAGAGCUCGACGAUAUGUCUAAGGAAUUUUAUGGUCUAAAAUCUUAGAUUUCUCAUCUCGAAAAAUUAAUUGCUGAAAUUUCGGAUAAGCAGGCCACCUUAGUUAAUAAGAUGGCCGCUAAACCGGUAAUUUUUUAUGAGAAUAAAGAUGAAGAUCUAAAAGUUAUUGAUGUGUCCCCUAUUAAAUCUUAGUUUUGCAAUAUGAAUCUUGAUAAUGAUGGGACUGGAGAUGAGUCAACUUUAGUUAAAAGGCGUCCCAAAAAUUCGGAGUUUUUAGAUCUUGAUGCAAAAUUUGGUAAAAGUGGGAUUGAAGAGGUCAAAACUUUAGAUAUCAAUGAACCCACUAUCUUGGAUUUCAAGGAAUUUAAUUAUGAUAAUUGCUCUUUGAUAUAUUUUAUUUCCUUGUUGCAAUCCGUGUUAAAUUCUCCUCAUGCUUAUAGUCAAAAUAAAGCUUUUACUAAACAUAUCGUUGUUGCUUUGAUGCAAUCUUAUGAAGAAAAACUUGAGUUGGAAGUUUCUAUCCCUAGAAAACUUUAUGAUGAAUGGGAACCUACAAUUAAAAUUAAAAUUAAAGAUCAUGAAUGCUAUGCUUUGUGUGAUUUGGGUGCUAGUGUUUCCACGAUCCCAAAAACUUUGUGUGAUUUGCUAGGUUUCCGUGAAUUUGAUGAUUGUUCUCUAAAUUUGCAUCUUGCGGAUUCCACCAUCAAGAAACCUAUGGGAAGAAUUAAUGAUGUUAUUAUUGUUUCAAAUAGGAACUAUGUGCCCGUAGAUUUUAUUGUUCUUGAUAUAGAUUACAAUCCUUCAUGUCCUAUUAUUUUUGGUAGACCUUUCCUUAGAACGAUUGGUGCAAUUAUUGAUAUGAAAGAAGGAAAUAUUAGAUUCCAAUUUCCGUUAAGGAAAGGUAUGGAACACUUUCCUAGAAAGAAAAUAAAAUUACCUUAUGAAUCUAUUAUGAGAGCUACUUAUGGAUUGCCUACCAAAGAUGGCAAUACCUAGAUCUAUCCUCGCUUUUAUGCCUAGCUAGGGGCGUUAAAUGGUAGCGCUUGUUGGGAGGCAACCCAAAUUUUAUUUUAGUUUUUUUGCUUUUUUGCUUCUGUUUAGGAAUAAAUCUUUGAUCUAGACUCUGGUUAGACUUGUUUUUAUGUUUUAAUUAGUGUUUGUGCCAAGUUAAACCUAUAGGAUCUUCUUGGAUGAUAGUUAUUUGAUCUUGCUGAAAAUUCCAGAAACUUUCUGUUCACGAAAACAAUUGUUAAAAAUCACCAGAACGUGAUAAAAUACUGAUUCUAAUUGCAGUAGAUCAAUAAACAAAUUAUCUAGGUCUUCCUAUUUUGGUAGAUUUUUCUGAGUUACAUAAGUUUGUGUUAGUUACAGAUUACUACAGACUGUUCUGUUUUUGACAGAUUCUGUUCUUCGUGUGUUGUUUGCUUAUUUUGAUGAAUCUAUGGCUAGUAAAAUAGUUUAUAAACCAUAGAUAAGUUGGAAUACAUUAGGUUUAACACCAAUAUAAAUAAAGAAUGAGUUCAAUACAGUACCUUGAAGUGGUGUUUUGUUUUCUUUCGCUAACGGAGCUCACGAGAUUUUCUGUUAAGUUUUGUGUUGUGAAGUUUUCAAGUUUUGGGUAAAGAUUUGAUGGAUUAUGGAACAAGGAGUGGCAAGAGCCUAAGCUUGGGGACGCCCAAGGCACCCCAAGGUAAAUCUAAGGACACCAAAAAUCCAAAGCUUGGGGAUGCCCCGGAAGGUAUCCACUCUUUCGUCUUCGUCCAUCGGUAACUUUACUUGGAGCUAUAUUUUUAUUCACCACAUGAUAAGUGUUUUGCUUGGAGCGUCUUGUAUGAUUUGAGUAUUUGCUUUUUAGUUUACCACAUUCAUACUUGCUGUACACACCUUUUGAGAGAGACACACAUGAUUCAGAAUUUAUUAGAAUACUCUAUGUGCUUCACUUAUAUCUUUUGAGCUAUAUAGUUUUUGCUCUAGUGCUUCACUUAUAUCUUUUAGAGCACGGUGGUGGUUUUGUUUUAUAGAAACUAUUUUUCUCUCAUGCUUCACUUAUAUCAUUUUGAGAGUCCUACAUAACAGCAUGGUAAUUUGCUUAAAUUGAGAAAUUAGUCCUAAUAUGAUAGGCAUCCAAGAUUAGUAAAAACUUUCUUAUAAGUGCGUUGAAUACUAAGAAAAGUUUGAUGCUUGAUGAUUGUUUUGAGAUAUGGAGGUAGUGAUAUUAAAGUUGUGCUAGUUGAGUAGUUUUGAAUUUGAGAAAUACUUGCGUUGAAGUUUGCAAGUCCCGUAGCAUGCACGUAUGGUAAACGUUGUGUAACAAAUUUGAAACAUGAGGUGUUCUUUGAUUGUCCUCCUUAUGAGUGGCGGUCGGGGACGAGUGAUGGUCUUUUCCUACCAAUCUAUCCCCCUAGGAGCAUGCGCGUAGUGCUUGGUUUUUGAUGACUUGUAGAUUUUUGCAAUAAGUAUGUGAGUUCUUUAUGACUAAUGUUGAGUCCAUGGAUUAUACGCACUCUCACCCUUCCAUCAUUGCUAGCAUCUUCGGUACCGUGCAUUGCCCUUUCUCACCUUGAGAGUUGGUGCAAAUUUCGCCGGUGCAUCCAGACCCCGUGAUACGAUACGCUCUGUCACACAUAAACCUCCUUAUAUCUUCCUCAAAACAGCCACCAUACCUACCUGUUAUGGCAUUUCCAUAGCCAUUCCGAGAUAUAUUGUCAUGCAACUUUCCACCGUUCCGUUUAUCAUGACACGUUUCAACAUUGUCAUAUUGCCUUGCAUGAUCAUGUAGUUGACAUCGUAUUUGUGGCAAAGCCACCGUUCAUAAUUUUUCAUACAUGUCACUCUUGAUUCAUUGCCCAUCCCGGUACACCGCCGGAGGCAUUCAUAUAGAGUCAUACUUUGUUCUAGUAUCGAGUUGUAAUCAUUGAGUUAUAAAUAAAUAGAAGUGUGAUGAUCAUCAUUCAUAGAGCAUUGUCCCAAAAAAAGGAGAAAGGCCAAAUGAAAAAAAGGCCCAAAAAAAGGGGCAAUGUUACUAUCCUUUUUCCAUACUUGUGCUUCAAAGUAGCACCAUGGUCUUUAUGAUAGAGAGUCUCUUGUUUUGUCACUUUCAUAUACUAGUGGGAAUUUUUCAUUAUAGAACUUGGCUUGUAUAUUCCCACAAUGGGCUUCCUCAAAUGCCCUAGGUCUUCGUGAGCAAGCAAGUUGGAUGCACACCCACUUAGUUUCUUUUGUUGAGCUUUCAUGCAUUUAUAGCUCUAGUGCAUCCGUUGCAUGGCAAUCCCUACUCCUUGCAUUGACAUCAAUCGAUGGGCAUCUCCCUAGCUCGUUGAUUAGCCGCGUCAAUGUGAGACUUUCUUUUCUUUUUUUCUUCUCCACAUAACCCCCAUCAUCAUAUUAUAUUCCACCCAUAGUGUUAUAUCCAUGGCUCACGCUCAUAUAUUGCGUGAAAGUUGAAUUUUUUUUGAGAUUACUAAAGUAUGAAACAAUUGCUUGGCUUGUAAUCGGGGUUGUGCAUGAUGAGAGCAUUCUUGUGUGACGAAAAUGGGGCAUGACCAAACUAUAUGAUUUUGUAGGGAUGAACUUUCUUUGGCCAUGUUAUUUUGAGAAGACAUAAUUGCUUAGUUAGUAUGCUUGAAGUAUUAUUACUUUUAUGUCAAUAUUAAACUUUUAUCUUGAAUCUUUCGGAUCUGAAUAUUCAUACCACAAAUAAGAGAAUUACAUUGAAAAUUAUGCUAAGUAGCAUUCCACAUCAAAAAUUCUGUUUUUAUCAUUUACCUACUCGAGGACGAGCAGGAAUUAAGCUUGGGGAUGCUUGAUACGUCUCCAACGUAUCUAUAAUUUUUGAUUGUUCCAUGCUAUAUUAUAUUCUGUUUUGGAUGAUUAAUGGGCUUUAUUAUACACUUUUAUUAUUUUUGGGACUAACCUAUUAACCGGAGGCCCAGCCCAAAUUGUUGUAUUUUUUGCCUAUUUUAGUGUUUCGCAGAAAAAGAAAAUCAAACGGAGUCCAAACGGAAUGAAACCUUCGGGAACGUGAUUUUCGGAACAAAUGUGAUCCAGAGGACUUGGAGUGGACGUCAAGGAACAGACGAGGAAGCCAUGAGGUAGGGGGGCGCGCCUACCCCCUGGGCGCGCCCUCCACCCUCGUGGCUCCACCGACCUACUUCUUCCUCCUAUAUAUACCUACGUACCCCCAAACCAUCAGAAGCGACCAUGAAAACCUAAUUCCACCACCGCAACCUUCUAUACCCCUGAGAUCCCAUCUUGGGGCCUUUUCCGGCGUCCUGCCGGAGGGGGCAUUGAUCACGGAGGGCUUCUACAUCAACACCAUAGCCUCUCCGAUGAUGUGUGAGUAGUUUACCUCAGACCUUCGGGUCCAUAGUUAUUAGCUAGAUGGCUUCUUCUCUCUCUUUGGGUCUCAAUACAAAGUUCUCCUCGUUUCUCUUGGAGAUCUAUUUGAUGUAACUCUUCUUUUUGCGGUGUGUUUGUCGAGAUCCGAUGAAUUGUGGGUUUAUGAUCAAGAUUAUCUAUGAACAAUAUGUGAAUCUCCUAUGAAUUCUUUUAUGUAUGAUUGGUUAUCUUUGCAAGUCUCUUCGAAUUAUCAGUUUGGUUUGGCCUACUAGAUUGAUAUUUCUUGCAAUGGGAAAAGUGCUUAGCUUUGGGUUCAAUCUUGCGGUGUCCUUUCCCAGUGACAGCAGGGGCAGCACGGCACAUAUUGUAUUGUUGCCAUCGAGGGUAAAAAGAUGGGGUUUAUAUCAUAUUGCAUUAGUUUAUCCCUCUACAUCAUGUCAUCUUGCUUAAAGCGUUACUCUGUUCUUACGAACUUAAUGCUCUAGAUGCAUGCUGGAUAGCGGUCGAUGUGUGGAGUAAUAGUAGUAGAUGCAGAAUCGUUUCGGUCUACUUGUCACGGACGUGAUGCCUAUAUACAUGAUCAUACCUAGAUAUUCUCAUAACUAUACUCAAUUCUAUCAAUUGCUCGACAGUAAUUCGUUUACCCACCGUAAUACUUAUGCUCUUGAGAGAAGCCACUAUUGAAACCUAUGGCCCCCGGGUCUAUUUUCCAUCAUAUUAAUCUUCCGUCAACAAGCUAUUUCUAUCUUUAUUUACCUUGCAAUCUUUACUUUUACUCUUUAUCAUAAAAAUACCAAAAAAAAUUAUCUUAUCAUCUCUAUCAGAUCUCACUCUCGUAAGUGACCGUGAAGGGAUUGACAACCCCUUUAUCGCGUUGGUUGCGAGGUUCUUAUAUAUUUGUGUAGGUGCGUGGGACUUGAGUGUGGCCUCCUACUGGAUUGAUACCUUGGUUCUCAAAAACUGAGGGAAAUAAUUACACUACUUUACUGCAUCACCCUUUCCUCUUUAAGGGAAAACCAACGCAGUGCUCAAGAGGUAGCAGUGUUCACCGCGCCGCCCGCCGUGCCCCUCGCCGCGCGCACGCCCACCACCGCGCCAGCCCCCGCUCAGCGCCCUCUCCUGCACGCUUGUGCGCGCAUGACCCUAGCCACGCCCGCGCCGUGAUCCCCUUGUUCGGCCCGCCUUCGUCCCGCGCUCGCCGCGGCCCCCAUGCUCCCCCGUGCCAUCUUCUAGGGGCGUCGGCUGCCCCUGUCCCGCUGCUCGCUGCCACGCCUCGCCCGCCCGCGCCUCGCCACCGCUCUACUGCUACGCUAAUAUUGCGCUGUGGCCGCCGCCGCUUCCCGCUGCUCUGCCAGCGCCGAAGCUCCCGGUUGGCUCCGCCGCUGCUCACGUUUUACCGCCCCUAAACGGCCUACCCCCCCCCUCGCUAAUGAACCCCCACUGACCCGCUGACACCGGGACCCACAUCCCCUAAUUAACCAUUUAAUAAAUUAAAAAUCUUAAAUUAACAUUAGUGUAUGACAUGUGGGUCCCCUAUUAAUUAAACUGAUUUAAUUAAAAUCUAUUAACAUUGAGUCUGUGACAUAUGGGCCCCACUAAACAUUUGACCAGUCAACGGUCUAGUCAAAUGCUGACCGGACAGUUGACCAGAGGGCCCCACCAGUCAGCCUCUGUGCUGUUCUGCUGGGUACCUUUCUAAGUACACCUAGCAUUUUGCAUUUACAAUAUUUGUUUUAAAAUAAAUUAGAAUAAUUUCAAAAAAAGAUUAAAACUUUUAAAAUUAAAAUAAAAUAAUCCGUAACUCGGAUGAAAUUACUUUAUACAUGCAAGUUGCUCAAAAAACGAGACGAAUCCGAAUACACAGUCCGUUCGUCUGCCACACGUCCCUAGCAUAGCAAACAUGCAACCAUCCCCCUCCGGUUCGACUGUCCGAAAAUGUCAGACACGGGAAAUACUUUUCCGGAUUUUCCCCUUCACCAUUAGCACCUAGUACCGCGUGAGGGCAUACCUAGCACCACUUAUUGUAAUGUCAUGCAUCGUCAUGCAUCUGUUUGCAUUGUAUUCAUUGUUUCUUCCUCCUCUUCUCUCCGGUAGACUACGAGACCGACGUCGGUGCUGCCCCGGUCGACUACGGUGUCCAUGACCCCUCCUUGUAAGCAGAGCUUCCAGGCAAGCAAACCCCCUUGAUCAUCCCGAUAUCGCCUACUCUUUCCCUCUACUGCUUGCAUUAGAGUAUUGUUACUGUUUGUCGGUUUGAUCCUAUACUGCUGCAUGGCUUGUCUUUGAUACUACUUAUGUGUUAUUUGUGUAGAUUUGUCAAGGAAAAAUGAGUCUAUAGCCUAAUAAAUGAAGUGUUGCAUGUUACCACACAUAUGUUAAUCCCCACUAUAGAGUUAGUAACAUAGACUAGUAACAUGUGCAUGUUACUACCCAUUGUGGCCAGUCUAUGUUACCACUUUCCUCUCUUUCUUCAUUUAUUGCUUGCCACAUCAUCUAUUUUAUCUAGGUAUGUGUGAUAUUACUACCUAUGUUACUCCCACUGUGGGUAGUCUAAGCAGGCUAUAAGGAAUAGAAUAAUAUAUAUGUGCUUAUUAGUUGGAGGAAAGAGAAGAGAAGCGGGCUCUUGGUUAGUAGAGCCAGCUACAACAUGAGACCCAAGCACUUUGUGAGGAUGUAAGGUGGCCAACUAUUGAUAAACUAGUACGUAUAUAAAAAUUAUUAUUGCACAUGGCCGCUAAGAGGUUGGCUGUAUAUGACAUGACAACUUCUUAUAGCCGACCCUUGGCUGUAUUAUUAACCAUGCUCUUAGUGAGGUAGCUAGUAUAUCAUAGACGACUAGCUAGUAUCAGACUAGCCAAAGUGGGAGUAACUUCAGCAGUAACAUCGACUCCAACUCAGAAAACUUGCUUAUGUGGGAGUAAACCGUGCCCAAUGCAAAAUACAAUCCCAGUCAUAAUUUUUUCAGGAAACGUGUGGUAUCCCAAACGAAAAGUACAUGUCACUCUUGCGGCAACGAUACCCAAUAAAUCACAAACGGUCUGCAGCACUUGUAUGUGUGCGAAGAGGCUCCUGAACCGUUUGUGAUAGAACAUUAUCGUAGACGAUAAUUGUUGGCAAACGUGUGCGAUGGAGUCUAGCAUGGCAGACAGGUUACGCAGAAAACUCGUGUGCGAUGGGGCACAAAUCGCACACAGUUCAUAUGUUGGCCCGUGUGCCUUACAUACUAUUUCCCAAACGGUUUGUUACGACAGACCGUAUGGUUUCAGUGCGUCAUUAGAAACGCUUAAUCACCGAUACCACACGUGCGAAAGAAUUUAGUGUGUGCUUCAUCGCACACGAUUACAUUUUGGAAGGCCUCUGGAUCACUGCUCCAUAUCCCCGACGGUUUCUGGGUCGUGUGGGAAGUACACCCUAUCGCACACACUCACUUGGCGACGGUUCCAAAUGCCAUCGCGGAAAGGGGUUGAAAACAGUUUGUUUAGAACCGACGCGUACCAUUGUCUAUCUAUCUAUCUACCUAUCUAUCUAUCUAUCUAUCCAUCCAUCUAUCUAUCUAUCCAUCUAUCUAUCCACCUAUCCAUCUAUCCAUCUAUCUAUCUCUAUCCAUCUAUCUAUCUAUCCAUCUAUCCAUCUAUCUAUCCAUCUAUUUAUCUAUCUAUCUAUCUAUCUAUCUAUCUAUGUAUCCAUCGAUCCAUCUAUCCAUCCAUCGAUCCAUCUAUCCAUCCAUCUAUCUAUCCAUGCAUCCAUGUAUCCAUCUAUCGAUCUAUCCAUCUAUCCAUAUAUCGAUCUAUCCAUCUAUCUAUCCAUCUAUCCAUCUAUCCAUCUAUCGAUCUUUCCAUCUAUCGAUCUAUCCAUCUCUUCAUCUACCCAUCUAUCCAUCUAUCCAUCUACCGAUCUAUCUAUCCAUCUAUCUACCUACCUAUCUAUCUAGCUAUCUAGCUAUCUAUCUAUCUAUCCAUCCAUCUGUCCAUCCAUCCAUCUAUCUACCUACCUACCUACCUACCUACCUACCUAUCUAUCUAUAUAUCUAUCUAUCUAUCUAUCUAUCUAUCUAUCUAAAGGAAAUAUGCCCUAGAUGCAAUAAUAAAGUUGUUAUUUAUAUUACUUAAACUAGCAGAGUCACCCGCGCAUUUGCGCGGCUAGAUUGACUACAUAUAUUGUUAUAUUUGGGAUUAUUUUUCUAUGCCAACUUUAUGGCCUCUUACUCAGAUAUUAUCUAAUUUAAUUUACCACCACCAUAUGUUAUAUCCAUAGAUUAUAAUUAAAAGGCAACUUGCGACGAAACAUGGUCAGAUUAUUGAGUGCUCAGAAGACGGGCGCAAUAUCAUAUAUAGACUUCUAUACCAAUCUUCAUGGUUCCCAUCUUUGAUCCUCUCCUCGUCCCUUGGUAUCUAUCUUUGCACCCAAUAUGUCUUUGGAGUUCCAAGAAUUGGAUCUUAGCAUGAAUGGCUUCAAAGUGUACCAAAUGUUCUCUUGUUCCUCCCAAAUUAAUUACUGGUUGCAUUCUUAGUUGCUUUGACAUUCUUGGUUAAUGCAAUGUCUUGCCUACCAAUAUAUGCAUCCACACACGAUCAUAUUUAUAUGACCACUUACCUCUGUAUUCUGGUAUUUGUGCUUCAGAAUUUUUCUCUCAUUCAGUUUAUUCAUAGAUUAGAAACGUCGAUCGUUUCUUUAUUGGUUUGCAUUAUCUUGUUUGCCGAAUGUAAGCAUCCACACAUGCUCGUCAUGAUAUGAUUGGUCAUCAUUGUAUAUUUGUAUUUGUGUGUUGAUAGCUUAAGGAUUUUCUCGGAUUCACUUCAUAGUUUAAGGAUUUUCUCGCGUUCAAUUUAUUCUACCUUAUUCAUUUUCAUGUUUCUUUAUUGUAUUCAUAUCCAUUCUUACAAUAUAUUUUCCAAGAUAUGAACUCAACUACUAAUUACGUAGUUUUCAAUGAAAUUUUACAUGUAAAAGUGGUACAAAUGCAUAAACCCAAUUUUUUUUUAAACACGUUGACUUACAAAAAGGACAAUUCAAGCUGCAUGUACGUCCGACUCAUGUUUACCUGACAAUGUCGAUGUUGAUUUCAGCAGUAAAUGAGCUGUGUGUGACCUUUGCGCUUUCCGGUAUUCUUCUAACCUGUGUGCUUUAUGAUCAGUUUGUUGUGCUUAGUACUGGACACUGGAGUAUACUAUCAUAUUUGAUACAAACAAAUCCGAACUGCUAUAGUUAUGAUCCACUGUAUAGUUAAUGGUGGUGGUAAUUAAUAUAUGUGGUUAAAUACUUGCGCUCCUUAGGUGGGGAGUUGGAUUUGUAUUUGUCUAAAAUGAAUUUCAGAUUUCGUAUCAGUGGUGAAGCCAGCCGGAAGAACCUCUGCGUCAUUAUUAAUUUUGGUGAUAUUUUUCAUCAUAGUGUAGAAUAAUUUUAGUGCUUAUUCCGCAAAAAAAUGGCCUCAACUGACCCCAUAGCUUGUAUGUUGCGCCACCACUGUUUCGUAUAUCUUAUUACAUCCGUUGUUUUUAGAUCUUGAUGCAUAACUUUGACAAUUUUUAAUAGAUAUGUGUCUGUAUAAAAAAAUUAUAAAUGCUAUGAUAAUUUGAUUAAUUAUGAUGAAUAAAAUGGUAUUGCUUUGACUUGAUCCCUCUAACAAUUUAUAGGAAUGCUCUUAAAUAUUUCUGCUUCAUUUGAUCUCAUUAUAGCCUGCCUAAAUUACAUGGCUUAAUCGCCUUUUUUCUUUUAUCUUAGUUCAUUUCCGUAAAUUCAUUUGUACUAUAUAUGCUCCCGUAAAUUCAUUUUUUUAAUUGCUCACAUUUUUUUGAGGCAUUUUGAGUUUCUCACGUACGCUCAAACGCCCAAGAAAACACAUAUAGUGUUCGCUACGCCCAAGAAAACACAUUGAGGCAGUAAUUUCUUCAGGCAAGAUCGAUCGGCAGCUAAUUAAGUAGGCUGGAUGGCAUUGAGAAAUCCAAAAACGAUUUACAUACACAUGGUAGAUCGUCUCUCUCUCUCCUUCCACCCCUUCCUUUCAUGGCCAUCGUAGACUGCACCAUGUGGCAUUCAAACUUUUAUCAAGGGGAGAGUUUCCUCACACACACACACACACAUGCACAUACGCAAGCACACGCACACACGUGUAGUACAAACUUAGAAUUUUUGGAAAUAAUGGGAGGCCGAGCAACGGCCAUGUGAAAAUAUGAGGUAUAUAGCUUGUGGAUUUCCUUUCAGUGUACAAGGCCUGCAUGAGGAAUGGAUAAAAAAUUAUAUCUUUGAUUCCCUUAGUUAAAUCUUAUCCUUCAUCGUCAAUUAUGACUAAGCAUACAUAGUAACCGCUAGUUUCUCUUAUAUGCUUCCGAGAAGAUAAGACUGGAUAUUUUAGUUGCUAUUAAUUGUUUCCCUUCUUUCGCUAAAUAGUAGUCAAACAUGUUAUUAAUGUAUUUUGUAAGGAUAAGGUCGAGCAUCAUGGCCACUAUGUUCUAUAUAUACUGAAUUUGGUGUUCAGUAUGACAUAACAAACACAUAUUGUGAGAAGGAGUAGUGUACAUUGUUCUCUAGUGCACUUUGUUCAGCAAGUUGGGUGAAAAUGUUGAAUAGAACCAUCAAGUUUUCAUACUUUUUUUCAUGGCACAGGUUUGCCUUCUCAUGAUGAUGGCCGCACCGUUUGCACAAGCUGCUGGGAGGCCUGUGGCCUCCUUACCAUGGGUAGCGGGGUGUUGCCCGAGGAACUAUUUGUGUUGUGGUGUUGGUGCCGUUGCCCCGACAUCCCAUGCAUCACAGGCCACCUCUGUACCUUGAGUUAUGGUUUCGCCUGAUCUCCUCUCAUAACAUAGUUGAUAUAACAUAGUAGCAUCACAAAGGUUGCAUGGUUUCAUUGAUUCAUCUCUUUUCUACUCCUUGAAACUUGUGAUGCCACUUUUGAACAAUGUCAUUGCUAUGUCUUCUUAUAACUAAUAAAAUGGGAGGAUAUUUUCAUCUUAUUUGAAUUGUGUUGUAACAUUACCUACUAAUGUGGAUGAUCUGAGUGGGACUACAUAGAUCGGAUCUUCUAAAGAUGUAAUCUAGGACUUUGCGAGAUGAUGAAAUUGUCCUUUAUCUUGGUCGACACCUUUUCGUAGAAGUGUUGGUCGGCCGUCUGUGUCUUUUUGCGGUGCAUGCCGUAGAAUCCUCCAUGUUUUGUAGUUGUACAAUAACCUUUGAGGCAACCGGGGGUGGUACGUCUGAGGAAGUCGGUGGCCCAGGAAUAUUCAUAAUAAGAUCUUGACCAUGGAUGCCAAGUAAUUUGCCCCGUGCUGAUGUCGUCGGGCUGACCCGCUCACUUAUGUUUUGACUCAAGGAGUCGCUAUGUUCACCGAGUCGCGAGACAGCGGGAGGAAGGAGACGAAGGUCCCAAACGUCAGACCAAAAAGGUGGACUAGGGCUCGCCCUAGUUGUGCUCUCGGGUAUUUUCAGUUACUAGUAGGAGUAAGAAGCAUUGCAAAUUGCUCCCUCUGUUCAAUCCGUAUAUAUGUAGUCCAUAUUCAUAUAUUCAAAAUAUUUUAUAUUUGUGAACGAAGGAAGUAAUUAAUUGUAAUGCAACAAUUUCAGGGGAGGCCAGUCAACAGCUAACUAAAUGUGCUGGAUGAGACUGGAGAAAUGUAUAAACGAUUUACACAUGAUAGAACUACUCUUUUCUUGUUAAGAAAUGGAAGAAUGGAUGAUUUUAUCCGUUCGGAACAAAACCCAAUAUUCAUCCAGUUAGACGUUGUUCUGAAUUGUGACGCUUUUGAAAGUUUUCUCGCAGAAAUAUGUGUGUAUUCCAGUUGUAUCAUUAGCAAACCAAGGUUGUAUAUAUUAUAGCACAAAGAAUGUUUGGUUGAUUCGUUCAGGCGAAUCGGGUUUGUUGCUGACUGCCAAAGUCAGGCCAACUCCAGCGCACGACCCCAAACGGACAUCUGUUUUGCCUGGAUUCUGCCCGUUUGGAUAGGGCAAUGGGGUCGUGUCCGGGCCUGUCCUGUGAUGCGGUGGCCGUGCGCACAACGUGCGGACGCAUCCUUUGGCCUCAUCAUGUCCGCCACGGCCAAAAAUGCCCAUAUAUUCAUAUUUCAAUGUUCAAAACUAGUUUGCACGUUCAAAUAUUAAUUGUCUGAAAAUAAAAAUAGUUAUUACAACCCAAUCAAAAUUGUCUCUAAUAAAAUAGUUUUACAACCAAAUCGAAAUUGUCUUGAAUGAACAUAAUGAACCAAUACAUCUAUUGGUUGCCAAUGUGAUUCCACAUGUGCUCAACCAAGUCAUUUUGAAGAUCCAAAUGAGUGUGCCAAUCAUGCAUUUCACGAUGAAAUUGGGCAAACUUCUCAAACGUGGCCGGUUCUUGGUGCAGGGGCUGAACAUUUUCACCUUGAAAAUCAAAUCCUUGGUCGAAGAUGCUGUUAUCAUGCUCGUCCUCGAUGAUUAUGUUGUGCAUGAUCACACAAGCAGUCAUCACCUCCCGAAGCUUCCCUUCAUCCCAUGUCAAUGCAGGGUUUCAAACGAUACCCCAUCGGGAUUGAAGCAAACCAAAAGCACGUUCCACAUCCUUCCUAGCACUCUCUUGCAUUUGGGCAAAUCUCUUUCUCUUCUCACCUUGGGGGUUCGAGAUUGUCUUCACAAAAAGUUGACCACUGAGGAUAUAUACCAUCAGCUAGGUAGUAUCCCUUGUUAUACUGGUGGCCGUUGAUCUCAAAGUUGCCAGGUGGGGAGUGGCCUUCUGCAAGCCUUGCGAAGACUGGAGAACGCGGCAGCACGUUGAUAUCAUUGUGAGAACCUGCCAUGUCGAAGAAAGAAUGCCAUAUCCAAAGAUCUUGCGAAGCCACCGCUUCUAAUAUGAUAGUGCAAGCUUUAACAUGCCCCUUGUACUGGCCCUGCCAAGAAAAUGGACAGUUCUUCCACUCCCAGUGCAUACAAUCUAUGCUACCAAUCAUGCCUGGAAAGCCUCUAGCUGCGUUGGUCGCCAACAAGCUUUCUGUAUCAGUGGCAUUUGGCUGCUGAGGGAGUCCUGGAUUAAGGGGUCCUCGGGCGUCUGGGCUAUGUAACAUGGGCUGGACUAAUGGGCCGCGAAGAUACAAGAUGGAAGGCUUUCCCCCCAUGUCCGGAUGGGACUCUCCUUGGCGUGGAAGGCAAGCUUGGCAUGCGGAUAUUAAAGAUUCCCUUCCCUGUAAACCGAGUCUGUACAACCCUAGCCCCCUCCGAUGUCUAUAUAAACCGGAGGGUUUAGUCCGUAGAGGCAAGGAUAAUCAUACAGGCUAGAUAUCUAGGGUUUAGCCAUUACGAUCUCGAGGUAGAUCAACUCUUGUAAUCCCUAUACUCAUCAAAGUCAAUCAAGCAGGAAGUAGGGUAUUACCUCCAUUAAGAGGGCCCGAACCUGGGUAAACAUCGUGUCCCCUGCCUCCUGUUACCCUCUAUCCUUAGACGCACAGUUCGGGCCCCCCUAUCCGAGAUCCGCCGGUUUUGACACCGACAGCUGCCUCAAGUACUCAGGGCCAAACACUGCCACCACAGCCUUGUAGAAUUUGUAAAGUGACAACAGACAUGUCGACUCACUCAUGCGCACGUACUCAUCCACCAGAUCGCCUGGAAUUCCAUAUGCAAGCAUGCCGAUGGCCGCGGUGCACUUCUGGUAAGAGGAGAAUCCAAGCUUGCCAAGGGCAUCCGUCUUGCACUCGAAGUAUGGGUCAUGAGCAACCACUCCCUCUCGGAUACGAUUGAACAGAUGCCUUGCCAUACGAAAACGGCGACGGAAUUUAUUCGGCUUGAAGAGCGAGGUAUUCGCAAAGUAAUUGGCAUAGAGCAAGGCGUGGCCUCUCUCUCUAUUGCGUUUCAGGUUGGGAGCACGGCCAGGGACUGACCCCAUGUACCGAGGAAGCUGCCCAAUGUGAUCGUGAACGACCAGUGCAACCACCACCAGAUCUUCGUCAUCCGAGGACGAAUCAUCCGAUGAAUAAAUGAAGUGGUGGAAGAAAAAUUCAUCUCCACUGUCCAUACCUUUGUGGGCAAAGUGUCCAACACCUUGCGGUCGUGGUGGCAAAUAGGCCGCGAUGAUCAUCUCGAUGCAGCAGGGGUGGUUGGCGGCCGGCUACUGGCCGCUAUGGAGCACCUGGCGAAAGCUGCCGUGGUCCAUAUCCGUCGCCGGUGGUCGUAUCCCCUCUGGCACCGGCUACAACGACGACGGCCAAAUCUCCUCCAAGCGAUGGCCAGAACUCCUACGAAAGCGCGGGCUUGGUGGCGGCCGUGUCGAGACGUGGUUUGGUAUGGAUGGCCGGGGGGAAGCAGUGAGGAGGCGGUCGGAGAAUACUGGGGGCGCCGGUGGCGGGGUGGGGCGGAGGAGAGCGGGUGGAGGCGUUGGAGGCGAAUGGAGUGCUAGUGUCCCCAACAGGCGGGCCGCGGGGAGGACAAGGGCGUGUGUCCAGCCCGUCCGUGUGAUGUCCGUUUCAUCCCAAACUCGGCACAAGUUUGGGCCAGGAAUGGGUAAAAAACGGACGAAAUCCGGACAUUUGUCUAUUUGAGGCCGUGCCUUGGGUCGCGCUAUUCGUGUAUUCUACCCUAAACGGACGCACCAGAACGGAAUGGGGUCGCGUGCUGGAGUUGGCCUCACGACCGUUUCUGCCUUUGGCGCAGACAAGAGAUUCUACACUGUAAAGGAAAAAGCUGAAAGCUCGCUUGUCUCGUGUGUUUCUCUUCUCUUGCACCUUGUCGGAAAACAGCGUGCACCAGGGACGCUCGAUUCCAUGGCAGGCAUCAAUUCAAUCGAUCAUGCUACAGGGAACCGGCACUAUUUUCUUUUUCUUUUUCUUUUUCUUUUAGGUCGUGAACGCAAGUCAUUUGAGACAUUCACAUAGGACUUACAUAAUUGGUAGAUUUAUUAGCAUCAGUGUGGAGCUAAAGUGUUUGAUGUUUUGUAUGAAUGGUUUGGUCUUAACAAUCAAGCCGACCACUCAGGACCUACUUUUGGACUUUUUUUUUGUAUUAUUGUAUACUAGCAAAAGGGCCCGUGCGCGGAGAAAAAAAUUAUAAUCUUGAAUGACCAUGAUCACAUUUUUUUGCAUCACCGAGAUACACUAUCACUUUCAAUUUCGGGAAAUCAUGUACAUUUUUUAAACUUGUGAACAUUUUUCAAAUUCUUGAACACUUUUACAAAUCUGCAAACAUAUUCUAAAAUCAAGAACAUAUUUUGAAUUCAUGAACAUUUUAUAGUAUUUACAAACAUUUUUAGAAAUUACGAAUUCUUUUUAACAACUUUCUUGAAUAGGCAAACAAUUCUAAAAUGGACGAACAUUGUUUUAUAAAUCGGUGGAACAAUUUUUGAAAUUCACGAACAUUUUUUUGAUUUUACAAACAUUUUUUGAAAUGCAUGAUCAUUUUUGUAUAAACUAUUUUGUAUGUCACGAACAGAUUUUCAAAUAUUUGGUUAUUUCCCCAUUCAUGAACAUUUUUUGAAUGGUGAUAUUUUCUUCAAUUUCAUUAACAUUUUUUAUACACCAAUUUUUAAAAAGUCAUGGACGUAUUUUGAUUUCAUGAACAUUUGUUUUCAAAAUUUCGAACAUUUUUCGAGUCAGAUUCUUUAAUAAAAUUGCAAAUAUUUUUUGAAUACAUAAACAUUUUAUGAUUUAUUAAAACUUUAUUUGAAAAUUAUUUUUAAAUUUCAAAUAUUUUGUGUAUUCCGAAUUUAGUUAAAGCAGAAAAAACGGAAAAGGAUAAAAAAGGAAAUGUUAAAAACAGGCCGCCCGGACAUGGGCGGCCCAAACAGGCGGGCCGCGCCUUAUCCCUACGCGCAGAGCCCAGUAUGGGAGGUCGCUACUACAUGGCCCAGUCCAGACGUGGAUUCCCUGUGUGAAACAUUUAUAUCACUUAUACAUGACAUUUGUGGGUAAUUUGUACGACGUGCCAUAAGAAGAAAUAGCCCCUUUAUUAUUACUAGCAAAAGUGUCCGUGUGUUGUAAUGGGAGAAAUAAAAUCAAAAUCUCCAAUGACCAUGACCAUAUUUUGUUGCAUCACCCAGACACCCUAUCACUCUCAAUUUCAUGAAAUCAUGAAUAAUUUUUGAAAUCACGAACAUGUUUUAAAAUUAUUACUCAUAUUUGAAAUUGUGAACAUUUUUCAAAUUCAUGAACACUUAUACAAAUUUUCGAACAUUUUCUAAAAUCCAGAACAUUUUUGGAAUUGAUGAACAUUUUAUACUAUUUGCAAACACUUUUUAAAGAUUCUGAACAUCUUUAUAAACAAUUUUCUUUAAUCGAGGAACAUUUGUAUGGAAAUUGACGGAACAAUUGUCGAAAUUCACAAACAUUUUUUGAUUGAACUAACAUUUUUUGAAAUACAUGAUCAUUUUUUGAAUCAGUAGACAUUUUCUGAAUGACUAAACUAUGUUGUAAGUCACGAAAUAGUUUUUGAAUUUUAGGAUAUUUCUCCAUUCAUGAACACUUUUUGAAUUGGCUAUUUUUUUCAAUUUCAUUAACAAUUUUUGAUACAAAAACUUUUUAAAAAUCAUGAAUUUUAUUUGAUUUCCCAAAAAAUUGUGUUUAAAGUUUUGAACAUUUAUUGUGUAAGCAAUUGUUUUUUACAAAACAGCGACCAUAUUUUGAAUCCACAAACAUUUUAUGAUUUAUGAAAAUUUUAUGUCAAAAUACUCAUUUUUUAAAUUUUCUAAACUUUUUUGAAAUCCUAAACUAUUUAUAGUAAAAAGAACGAAAACAGGAAAGAAAAAUGAAAAUAGAAAACGAAAUCAAAGAAACAGGCCAGCCUGAAAUGGGCCGGCCCAAACAUGCGUGUAGCGUCUUCUCCCAGCGUGCCGAGAACAUUAUAGGAGGUCCCUACUGUAGAGCCGGCCCAGAUGGGGGAAUUCCCUUGUGUGAAUUUUUUGUAUCACUUAUAUGUGGCAUUGAACUCAUGAAGCAUGCGCUAUCCCUUCCAGCUCGCCGCCAUGUCUGGCUCGGACAACCAGAUGGACUUUCUUUCGUCCCUGUAAACGUUUUGAUGAUAUAAUAAAAAGCUUCGGAAUUUGUCUAAAAAAACUUAUAAGUGGCAUUGGUGGGUAAUAUUUUGCAACUUUAGAGGUAAUUCCAUGACGUACCACCAGAAGCACAAUAGCCCCUUUACUAUUAUUAGGUACUCUUUUUUCCUUGUGGAGCUUUGGAAAUGAGAGAAUUUGAAUAUAGUAACUCUCGGAAACUCUUAUUGGACGAGAGAGAUUUAAUAUGAUAUUGGCAUGGGUUCUACCAACUAAACGAAGAAGUAUUUGACUGAAUAAACAGACAAUUUCCUUUAAUCGACGAACAUUUUUAUGAAAAUUGGUGGAAUAACUUUUGAAAUUCAUAAAUAUUUUUUGAGUUAACGAACAUUUUUUGAAAUACAUGACCAUUUUUUUGAAUCUGUGAACGUUGUAUGAAUGAAUAAACUAGUUUGUAAGUCAUGAGCAGUUUUUCAAUUUUUAGGAUAUUUUUCCCUUCAUGAACAUUUUUUCAAUUGGUGAAAUUUUGUUCAAUUUCAUUAACAAUUUUUAGUGCAUAAAACUUUUUAAAAUCAUGAACAUUAUUAUUUACCAAAGAAGCAAAUUGUUUUUUGCAAAAUCAUGGACAUUUUUUGAACCCACAAACAUUUUAUUAUUUAUGAAACAUUUUUUUAAUACACAAUUUUUUUAAUUUUCGAAUUUUUGUGAAAUACUAAAUUAUUUAAAGUAGAAAAAUCAAAAACAGAAAAGAGAAAGGAAUAAUAGAAAAGGAAGUUAAAUAAUAGGCCGACCGAACAUGGGCUGGCCCAAACGGGCGCACUGCAUCUUCUNNNNNNNNNNNNNNNNNNNNNNNNNNNNNNNNNNNNNNNNNNNNNNNNNNNNNNNNNNNNNNNNNNNNNNNNNNNNNNNNNNNNNNNNNNNNNNNNNNNNNNNNNNNNNNNNNNNNNNNNNNNNNNNNNNNNNNNNNNNNNNNNNNNNNNNNNNNNNNNNNNNNNNNNNNNNNNNNNNNNNNNNNNNNNNNNNNNNNNNNNNNNNNNNNNNNNNNNNNNNNNNNNNNNNNNNNNNNNNNNNNNNNNNNNNNNNNNNNNNNNNGUAUUAUUAUUGUUUCAAAUUUAUUCAUAUAUUAUUUUCAAUUGUACAACCAUAAUUUUUCUUAUCUCUCUCGUUCCACUACAUGCUCCUAGUCAAAGAUUUUUUUUAAUAAUGGGUGUUUUUAUUAACUCAAAAUAUAGCAUCAAGCGGAUACAAAACAUAAUGAGCCACACCCGGUCUAUGCAUAACUAAGAUGCACACAGCCAAAAGCAGAAGUCUGACAAAAAUAAGAUAAGAAAAUCGACAUAUCGACAACAGUGAGUCAUGUAGUACCGACACUAUGCCUCUGUCGAAGGAGGUGGUGGAGCGAUCUGGAGAUUAUGCUGCCAUCCAUGUUGAGUAAAUAUCUCCCUGGCCACUUGCUCCAACCGCAUAGACGCCGCCAUGAACAACGGUUGGUACUCCAUUCGGUGUAGCAUACACCAUACUAGAGGCUGGGGCGCCACCUGAGGCGGGCCUAUGCGCACUUAUUUUGUCUGGGCACUUCGGUUGUCAUGUUUGGUCAUCAGUAUCACUUAUGUACAUCAAUAUGGGCGUAUGCUGUAUUGUUUGAGUUCAUUAGGAUCUAUUAGUAUCACAUCAAUCAAAGUACAUAUACUAUGUUAUUUGAGUUCAGAACCAUCAUAGGCAAUGAUACGUCUAAUAAGGAUAUAUAACAUUUAAUUCAAAAGGAAAGACAAAGUAGAAUUAAGUGCUUUAGUUUGGCCGAAGAAAGGAACCUCAUGAUGCCAUGACUAAGGAACCAAAUAUAAAAGAGCACCUUUCAGAGUACUCCAGAGGUAUGACAUCAUCCAUUUCCACAUCAGAAUCAUCGGAAUUCUCCUGAUCUUCAUUUCGAUGUACCCAACACAAAUGCUACAUGGAUUUUAGUCAGCUGCACUCCCCACUACUUCUACACUUCCCCUUUUUCACACCGACGAGCAGAGACUGAUGCAAGUUGAUCGAACACAGAACAACAUAUAAUUUCCUAGAGAUGCGCUGGGCCUGAAAGGCAACAUACCUAGCAUGCGCAUAAAAUGUGAGAGUAACAAUAAAAGAACAUACCAUUUACCGAUAUGAUUAUUAUUGCUUGCCAAAAUGAUACGUUUUGAUUACUAUUGCAUGCCAAUAUUCUUAAUCACUCCAAGCAAAUUUAACCUAAACUAAAUAUCUAAGAGUAAGCUCUGGUUUAUGUAUUUUACAGAAGUUUGGUUCAGCGAAACUUCGGAAGCAAAUGUGUGAAGGUUUUAUCAUUCUAAUUAAAGGCCUUUUGAUUGUGCAAAACUUACACUACCACAUGAGUUACUGACCAACAUGAGAUGCAAAGUAACAACAGCAUGAUAAUUUUUUUUGAAGGCAGUCAUAUUCUAAAGCAUUAAAAGAUGAAUUCCAAUGCUUUGAUUCUGUAAAGAAUUAGAUCGAUCACUCAACAGUUCUAUUGGCGCCACUAAAAUUCUGAGUGCAAUGUUGUGUAUGUAGCUAAAAUUCACCCAUCAAAGACAACCUUAAUAAUAAGCAAUGGUCAAAACAAGCAAUUGUUGAAGUUAAAUGUAAUUAGAUAGGAAGUCACAUUUGAUUCAUGACCAUCGAGCUGAAAAUGAGACCGAUAAAAGCUGAUUCACCAUGAAGAGAAACAACUAAUGUGAACCUCGGGUUGUAAAACAAAUAGGAUGAGUCGUGUGCUGAUUGCAAAAAAUUGUACUUCUAACCAAAUGACCAUGCUUCAUGAAUAGAUGACAAUAUAGUAACACGAAAGUGAAGUACGGUGAAAUUUUGUAAGCUACUAAGGGCAUAGGGCAAAGCUCACACUCCAGCUUGCACUCCUUGAAGAAAUCAACCAAAAGCACCCAGAAAGAUAAAUGGCAUUGUGGCAUCCGAUGAAUGUUGAUAACUGUACCAUCACACUAAUUUAAUCUACAAAAUUCAUGUCAACAUCACUAAUCAUGAUGUAUCAGGUUAGGAUAAAAUCAUUGUUUUUUCCCAAAAUAAAAUAAAACAAGCCCAGUUAGAAAGAAAUCAUAAGCCUAUCAGACAAUCAGGCAAUUCUGUUAGCAUGUCAACAAUCAGACAGAACAAAACCUAUAGUCCUCAUUUUUUUCUUUCUAAAAAAAGUGUAAUGCUAGAAAAGAGAGUUAAAUAAAAUGCUACGUGAAUCAGCAUACAGAAAAUUCAUAGAAGCAAUGAAGAAAAUAUGAACAAAAUUUAUGUCGAAACACCUAUACUUUCCCCACGAGCAAAUAUGUGUAAUGUUAGAAAAGGGAGUUAAAUAAAAUGUUAGGCAAAUCCGCAUCCAGAAAAUUCAUAGAAGCAAUGAAGCAAAGAUGAGCGACAAAUUUAAUCUACACACACACACACACACACACAUUCAGGCAAACAAAUUACUUCGAUUGAAUCCAUUCCUUUGCAUAUAUGGCAUAAAUGCAUCUAAGGAAAAAAAAACUUGAUGGUGUUAGUUUACCUUGCCAAGAUCAUGAAAUCCAUCUAAAUGAAUAAGAAGCUCCAACAGUGUCCGCUGGAUCUCAUGGUCGUCAUUGGUUCCCUCACUAAAUCUUCUCGCAUCAAUUGCAUCGAUUUCAUCCAUGAAGAUAAUGCAUGGCUAGAAAUAACAACUUGAUGAAAAUGAAACAAAAUUUGCAAGCACCGUAAAUAAACUAAAUGGUGAUAUAAGCUAAAAUGAUCUCAGAAGUGCACUUUUACAUAUAUAGAGAUCAGUUUGAUUUCUUCUUCUCAGGAAAAACUGAUACUGAAAUCUAAAGCUUAAAGUUUUUCUAGUGUUGAACCAGAAUACAAUUAGAUGACAUGACAUCUGAGUCAAGGGAACUAUCAAAGUCACAGCUUGAAUCUCAACACCAGUAGAUGCAUAACCAUCUGCCAACAUACGUUUCUAACAGAUAAUAAGGGAAUUAGGUUUAAGACCAAUUGGCUUUGCAAAAAAGAAAGGCGGAGCAAAACUUACUUGGCGAUCGCGUGCAUAGCCGACCAUUUCUCUGAUUAAAAGCGCACUUUCCCCGAUAUAUUUGUCAAUUAUAGCACUUGACACAAUCUGGUUUUUAGACAACACGUCAGUGUAAUGUAAUACUCACAGAAUGAAAAUACCAACCACCAUCAAUCAAGUGAAAACCACAGCUCCAAAAAGUUAGCAUGAAUGUUACUGGAUAUAGCCCUUGAUAGUAAUGGCUUCCCUGUAGAGUAGAACGCACUUGAAAAAGUUAAAGAAACAUACACUGGCUCCCAUAUAUUGAUCUUGUAUUUGACAAGUGGCCGGGCAUCAACAUUGUGCCUGCUGGUGUACCAAUUCAGCUUGUAGCUGCCAGCUAAUCUCCUUCUGAACAGUUAUGCUGUCCUCACUCACGUGCUACGCCUAUUCAAACUUGCUUAAUUUAAUUUGUUACUACUAUGUUAAUGCUGACAUAUUAACUGGCAGACCUCAUGUACUAACAGUAAAUCCCAGCAUACUUUCUUAAUUUGCUACUAUCCGGAUUUAUUCUUUUAGCGAGAGGUCAGGUAUCACUUGGAACAACUGAGUUUCUUUUUAAUCUUUGUGGACACUACACUUGAACGCCACAACCACCUGGAUAUGUCAGGCAGGACGGGCAGCAGCGCAUCAUCAGUAAGUUUAUUUAAGAGAGUAAAAUUCAGUCGCAAUCAGUCAAUCUCAAUCAGGUUCAGAUUUGGACGCGACCUUGAAUAACGAAGCCCCAACUGGGAAGAACAAGGUUGCAAGAACAAGCAGAUUGACGAUGGGUUCAUGGAAGCUUACCAGGCAGGCAGUCCGCCCGGCGGCUUGAGCAAGCUGCUGCUGGUACCCUACGCGCAGUCGCAGUCCGCACCGGCCAGGGCACACGAGCACUGACGCGCGUGCCGCCUGCCGCUUCACCAUGCCCACGUUGUAGUCGCCACCGAUUCACGGCAGGGCAGAGGGGCCUCGACCUCGUCCUCCUCCACAUCAUCAUCGGCGAUGCCCUUCCCCUCCUGACCCCAACACCAUCAUGCCCCCGCCGACUCAUCUCCCUACAGCGACGGCGACUCCGGAGGCUCCGAGACCUGGGACACCGACAUGAGUGGCUCGUCGGCAUCGGAUCUCCUCCACCCNNNNNNNNNNNNNNNNNNNNNNNNNNNNNNNNNNNNNNNNNNNNNNNNNNNNNNNNNNNNNNNNNNNNNNNNNNNNNNNNNNNNNNNNNNNNNNNNNNNNNNNNNNNNNNNNNNNNNNNNNNNNNNNNNNNNNNNNNNNNNNNNNNNNNNNNNNNNNNNNNNNNNNNNNNNNNNNNNNNNNNNNNNNNNNNNNNNNNNNNNNNNNNNNNNNNNNNNNNNNNNNNNNNNNNNNNNNNNNNNNNNNNNNNNNNNNNNNNNNNNNNNNNNNNNNNNNNNNNNNNNNNNNNNNNNNNNNNNNNNNNNNNNNNNNNNNNNNNNNNNNNNNNNNNNNNNNNNNNNNNNNNNNNNNNNNNNNNNNNNNNNNNNNNNNNNNNNNNNNNNNNNNNNNNNNNNNNNNNNNNNNNNNNNNNNNNNNNNNNNNNNNNNNNNNNNNNNNNNNNNNNNNNNNNNNNNNNNNNNNNNNNNNNNNNNNNNNNNNNNNNNNNNNNNNNNNNNNNNNNNNNNNNNNNNNNNNNNNNNNNNNNNNNNNNNNNNNNNNNNGGAGGCUCGAGCUUGGGAAGGGGGGAGGGGAACGAAGGGGUGGGGCUCCAGGCAAUCCUCACCUCCAAAGACAACUUGACCGGCAACACGGGCAGGCUAGACCUCUUCUAUGGCGAGGCCAACUUCGGCGAGGGGACGAGGUGGUGCGGGACCUUGGAGAUAUCUCCCCCGCGCGUGGAGCUUGUCCGGCGACGCCGCUGAAGAUGCCACUGCCACGACCAGCUCGAUCCUCCUUCGCUGGACUCCGAUCUGGACGAGGACUGAGCUAGGAGGAGGGAAGCGGGAGAGGAGAAGGCGCAGGAGAAGCGGCUGAGCCGGCGGCGCAGGGACCAGGGAGAGAAGAAGGCGAACGAAGAGGGGAUUGACAGAGUGGCGAAGAAGCAUGCGGGCUAGGUUUCCUUUUCUUUUUCUCCCAGCACUGCACAGUUGCUUGUCUCGUAGCUUGCCGGCAUGGCUAUGGCGAGGGCUCGCCCUUGAUGCGUAGGUUAAUGUAUUCGACUAGCGGGGCGCCUCUUGAGAGGAAGCUGAGCGGUGCUAGGUGGGACGCGCCCCUUUCCCUUUCCUGCAUAUACUAUGUAAUGUUAUUGCAUCAGAUUUAAAGUAACAUGCUCAGCUAAGUGCAAAGUGUGAUGAAUAAGUGAAACAGAAGGAAGCUGGUACAUUGGUGUAUGCCAAAAACUGAAUAUUAUAACAUAAACACAUGAAGUCAUCGACGUCUAUGGUAUGAAAUGCACAUGCACAAAAUUAGAGUGCACAUGAAGACAGAGCACUAUAGUGUCCUGAGUUGCAAGUCUCUAAGCACUGAAAUGAUCUGCAAUCAUAUGUACAAAGUAACCGAAUAAGAACAAGAAAUUUAGAGUAAAUGAGCUGUAAAAUUGUAAGUAAUGAGCAUUGGAAUUAAGGCAGAGUCAGUGACAGUUGGGUGCACUUGACAGGAAAAUCGGCGAGGCAUAAUAUGAAAUUAGAGUAAAUGAGUGCGUGCACUUCUCUUGGUGGCACCUAAAUGAAAAAAGAAACUAUUCACCUCUCGAUAUAUUCCCUAAGACCAUAUAAAAUCAGGAAGGUACUGAAGAGAGAUGCUCAAAUUCGAAGUUGCCAUGUCUAGGAAUGCUUGAAGCUUCAAAGAUUUCCUAUAAUACAGCAUGCCUCUAACUAUUCACAAUAAGAAAAACAUGUAAAUGCGGAAUCAACCAAAUGAUGGUAAAUUGUAGUUGAUUUUGGCCAAGCAAACGUCAGAUGAAAGAAACAUACAUGAGUGAACAUCACGAUUGGAUGUUUUAUUCAAAUUUAACAGGUUAAACUCACCAAAUACAUCUGGAUAUUUAGUGUUAAACUUCAACAGAUGGUCAGUUGUAGCUAGAUUCACACCACUGAAGCAAAAUUCCAUCUGCCACGGUUACAUCACACCAUCUUUUCAUCGUUACUAUUUAAAUUCCAAAAGCCUGCAACUCAUUUUUUUUGUUACGAUGUAUGCAUGAUUUUUAACUCAAGAGGAAGAGGGGAAACUAAAUCCAAGAAAAGAACACCAAGGAAGCAUCCAAAAUAGAGAAAGGAAAAAUCCAAAAUAGAGGCAGAAUCGAAGGGAAGAAACCCCAUAAAAAAUAGGAGAUCAAACGGUGAAAAAAAUCUAAGAGUCAAACAAUUCCAGGUAAGACCAAAUCGACGGCAAAAUAGCACAAGAGGGACUCACAUUAACAGGUAUACCAAUUCAGAAAGAAGUGUAAAGCAAACAGUGCAAUGGACCACUAGUAUAAAUUGGAUGUACACAAACAUGGGACUUAAACAGGAACUGCGAGAUGCAGGGUUCACGUGCAAACCCAAAAAACGGAAAACUGAAACCCACAACAAGAUUUUAUCUUCAUAUAUAUAUAUAUAUAUAUAUAUAUAUAUAUAUAUAUAUAUAUAUAUAUAUAUAUAUAUAUAUAUAUAUAUAUAUAUAUAUAUNNNNNNNNNNNNNNNNNNNNNNNNNNNNNNNNNNNNNNNNNNNNNNNNNNNNNNNNNNNNNNNNNNNNNNNNNNNNNNNNNNNNNNNNNNNNNNNNNNNNNNNNNNNNNNNNNNNNNNNNNNNNNNNNNNNNNNNNNNNNNNNNNNNNNNNNNNNNNNNNNNNNNNNNNNNNNNNNNNNNNNNNNNNNNNNNNNNNNCCUAUCUAUUAGUUGCUUCUUCCGAAUCCCCACCUAUCAAGCGUUUUCUUUGAAUAAACAAACACAAUAGUAUUCUCUGAAUUAUACUGUACAGUGAUAAUUAACCAAGCGACUGGAAUUAACAAUAUUAUGAGCUAUUGGCUUUUUAGUCAGGUAAAUAUCAUUCUUAAGACUACGGAAAACAGCAGGCGGCGAAGAAAACAUCUAUUGAUGAGAACUAUACACAUACUUAAGAAGGAAGUGACAUCUAUGGUAGCAGAACAUAUAUCAAGCUGUUGCAGCUACAUUAGCAGUUUAGCACAGUCCCUCCAUAAUACACAGGCUAGUGUAAUUUCACAAAUACAAUAAGCUAACAAUAUAUAUUUGGUAGAUGGAAAUGGCUGGAUCAUGACCAAUAUACGAUUACACAUCCGAUGAUGCAAAUAAAGAAACGAGGCCCAACAAUAGUGGAAAAUAAACCACAAUAGAACAUGUAUUUGGCGAAACCUCCAUACUGCAAUAUCAAACAUGAAUUGAAAUUAACAAUCUAGCAAAAAAACAUGACAGAUGCAGUCUUGGUCAUUUUUUCUUUUGUGACAUCCCCUAAAAAAAGUAAAAAGAAUGUUGUUCGUAUUUUACCAGAGAUACACUGAGCUGGGACAAAUCGGUCUGAAAUAAAAUAUGAUGGCUUCGGAGGAUUCGGAAGGCAAGAAAUUUGCUUUCUUCCAACAUAUAUGGUCUGCUGAACUAAACUUUGUUUCAGCGAGCUUUGGCAAAAAUCUGUAACUGCAAACAUCAAACUUGUGUGCCCUUCCUACAUCAAACUUUAAACCUGACGGAUUAAAUAUUUUAGGUUAGGCUGAGAUCAGUGUACUUUAUGAGUGUUAAGUGUACUUUCUAAAUAGCAGAGAAACCAUAACAUCUAAGCACAACCCAGCAACUUGUACAAGCUAACAUCAAAUCUGAAAGAGGAAAUGUCGAGAACAGGUGAAGGUACCAUGAUCCAUGACUGAGCAAAGUUAUCUAUAAUCCUCGGUGAAUAUCAUAAAUUAGGAUCAACAAAGCUGAAGAACAAACGGGAAAGGAACCUAGAAAGAUCUUCUGCCGGUAGAAUAUAACUGAUACACUAUCCUCAUUCUCGAGAUCAAGGUCGUUUCUUGAAUUGCAGUUUCCUCACUGUAGUAUGGGGUCAUUACACUGCGAAGAACAAAGUGUCAUAUGAAUCAUUUAGAGCCCAAUCUUUUUCACUGAAACUCUUAUGAUCACAUAACGAAUUUAAACAUAAGGUUUAUUAGAUAUUUGUUGUUGUGAACUGAUAAUAUAUUUCUGGUGUUGACAAUGUUUUGAUUAUGGAUGCACUUCAAGAUGGGUGGCACAGAUUCUGUUGUACAGGCCUCCACCUGGAAUUUCAUCACUUGUUAUUUUUGUUUAGAAUGUCUAGGUGCAUUUUUCCUUUAAGGUGGAAACAGAUGUACUUGUAUAAGCAACAAGAAUACAAAGCGCCACUGCCAUACAUUGUGGAAGUUCAAUGCUUCUGUUUACAAAAUCUGCUUCCCAAAACAGAAGGAUUUAUAAUUUUUUAUUACAAUCAAGCGGACAUGAGCUGAUGAGUACAGAUGUAAACAUGUACUGAGAGCAGCACCCUUUCAAAAGUGGAUCAUUUACAAGUUGGAUAGUUUGAUGGUCUGAAAUUAGUGGUCGUGUUUCAGAAUUGUUAUCGAAUAGUAGAGGAUAUAUAUUAACUUCUGAAAUUAGUGGCUGUUUGUCAGAACUGUUAUCGAAUAACAGAGCACAUAUAUUAACUUCAAUAAGUGGAGUAAUAUCUUUGGAUUCGCUGUGAGGAAAGAUUACCAAAACAAAACAGAAGUGAGUGCGACGACCCAGAUGAGGGCGCUCUUGAGCCUCUUCCCGACCGACCUAGAUGCAGGAGCAGAACACCGCGGAUCUAAUCAGCCAACGAAUAAAGCCGAGGCAGGUAGAGGAAGUAAGGGAGGAAGAAGACUGACUUGUCCUGGUCGCCCUCGUAGUAGAAUAUGGUGAACGGGAUGACGAGGAAGACGAGGACAGCGUCGAGGAUGUAGACGACGAGCCAGAGCGUCUUCAUGGGCAGGAUAAGGGCGCAGGCCCCGUUGUAGGCGGCGUGCUUGCAGGUCUGGCGGUUGGCGACGUCAGCGGGGAGCAUGAGGAUGGAGAGGACGGCGACGGUGAUGCCGAGCACGACGACGAGCUUGGGGAAGUAGGCCUGGUUGGCAUCAUCCGGGUGCUGGUAGUUGACGAGCAUGUAGACGCUGACGAGGAGCACCAGGAUGCUGACCACCGCCGCCACGAUCACUAGCGCCACGUUAAAAACCCCAUCUCCUCGGGGCUCCGGUCCCGGUUCCGGCCCGCCGCCUCGCCCCCGUUGGUCGGUCAGAUCUCUCUGUCCCUAGAGGCGGGGGGAUACAGGCUAGGGUUUGGGCGUGGGCGGGGAAUAGGCUGCUAUGGUGUCGGCAGCGGGGCGGCCACCGGCGGGGAGGGCGGGAUCCGCGCGGGGUGGCGGGAUUUGGGCAGGCGGUGGGCUCGGGGGAGGGCGGUGGCAGCGAAGCAGCAGGGAGGGGCUGGAGGAGAUGAAACGAAAGAGGUCGCGUGACACAGCGACAGCGUCGUCCAAUCCCCUCGCUGCCGAUUUAAAAAAAGGUAAUGAUAACUCCCGAACGUUCAGGAGUUAAGCAUGGCAACCCGAACGGGUUUAGAUGGCAAGUUUAGUUUGCGUGAGAUUAGAGAAACAUGGCAAUUUUCUGACAAAAGAAAUGAAAAAGGACGAAGUUGCCAUCCCCUAUCAACUAAAGUUGCCAUCCCUAUGAACUAAAGUUGCCAUGUAAAAACGUUCGGGAUGAAAUGCUCAAAAUCCGAACGUUCGGAAGUUAUUGGAUUCAAAAAAAAUCCCCUUGCUGCCAAUCGCUGGCCCGUUUCUUUUUUCGCCCAAUCGCUAGGUGAUGACGUGGCUAUCACGGGAAGGCGCCCUUGAUGCGUAGUCGAAUGGUUUUAAUUAAUAGGAAGCGAGUGCUUACUCUAGUUACUGAAUUAUGUACACCAAAUAAAGCCAUUUACACGUAGUUAAUGACAAAAAAAGUUGAUGUUUGCUACGCAAACGUGUAGUACAAAUUAAGAAGUGCAAGAUAAAAAAAAAUGCUGGUCCUUGAUUCGUUGUUGAUCGUCAGCAUGCCAUCAUCAAUUUGUAGUUAAUUAUCAUACAAAUUGGCUCUUUCAUAGAGUUGGAGGCUAGCUCCUUUGAUCAGCACGCGCUUAAACAUAAACAGCACGUAUAUGUUUUGUCUCCGGAGUUCAAUUCUUCAUCGGCCAGCAAAAAUGGCCCGACCGGGUAGAGGAAAAGGCAUGUUUGUUAGUACGCCUGGAGGAAAUGCCUUUGAUUAGGGCAUCUUCAACAGCGACCAGUAAAUUUCCUCCCGCGUUCGUCCACGGAUAGGGGAUCAGUCCGCGGAUACGGAUACAGGAAUCAUCUAUCUAACGCUGUCCGCGUAUAUUUCAAACACAUUUUUUUUAAAAAAAUAGGAUGAAAUUCAUGCAAACACAAUGGAUUUCAUACAAACCGGACAAAAAUGUUUACAUUUUGGACAUAUUUUUUUUACUAAAAACUCUACAGCCGGCGCCGGCGAAUAUCCACUCCGGCGACAUGGAACCCUUGACUAGUCUACUGCCGGCCGCAGCGGAUCUCCAAUGUCGUCCCCAUGUCCGGCAACUAUGAGCCCUAGAGGUAUAUGCUUCAGCGCAAAGAGCGGCUCGCCUCCCUACCGCUCAUCGGAGUGGAACAACCAGCUGAUGCUUCUGCCGAUGGAAAGGGUCCCUACGCUACACGGAUUAGAGUUGGUUUUGGGCUGGGAACGGCGGUGGCCUGCCAGAGGGCAAGACACCGACUGUGUAUGCUGGUGUCACCUGGUGUGGCAUUCGUGGGACCCAAGCGGCAGCGCCUCCUCGAUGAUGGCGGCGAGCGCGGACGUGUUGGACACCACCUCGUCGAUGUCCGUGCAGCCCGCUUCUUUCUCUGUAGGAAGGACGCGGUUACGCUCGCGUUGACAUCGGAUGACUCGGUCACAUGCACGGGAGGGGCGGUACGACAUGGCACCGCCAAUGGCAGCCAUGAUGCCCGCGCCAGCGUGCUCUCUCCCAGUGCCGACCUAGAGCAACUUGCCACUCCUCUGCUCGUGAACGGUGGGCUUGACGGGCCACCUAGCCAUUUUUUAUGCCAGACAACUCUUCUUCCUGCUCGUCAGAUGUCAUGGAUAAAACUGUUUAAGGAGGAAAAUGAUGAGUAGACGUGUGAUGCGGUUCUUGCCCAACAUCUGACAUUGUUUAAAUAGCGAGGGGACACGAGAGGAGCCAACUGGCGUUCUGUUUAAUGCCAACCGGCUCGCGAACGAACAUGUGGCUGGAGUAAUUAUCCUGGCACACACGCGGGUUUAAUGGUGGAAGGUGGGCAGUCUGCAGGAAUGAGGCGAGGAUGUGUGCUUAGCCGGCGUGCAGCAGGCGGCGCCCUCGGCCGGCGUGCUGCAUCCAUUGCGGAGGCAGUGAGAGGUCGCGUCCGCUCUGCAGCGCAUGAAUGCGGGCAGCUGGCGCAGAGCGGGAACGCGUGCGGGCGAGGGAGGAGGGGGUUUGGGCGGGUGGUCAGAAGAGGUCGUGGGUGUUGUCCGAACGCCUGCAAAGCCCCCCUCCAUGUUUGUCUCCAGUUUGCGGGAGAAAGUAUGUCCGAACCGUCUCCAAUGGACCAAUACAGGCCCGCAUUGGAUGGCACAACACGUCCGGACCAUGUGGUCCGGAUGGUUGUGGACAGUUUAAUUGAGGGUCGGCGUUGGAGAUACCUUAGAGUUUAUGAAUCCAUUGUGUUUUUCUAAUCAUAAAAAAGCACUUACAAUAAGUUAUAAGGAAAGACACGUUUAUAUGUUAGGUUCAGACUCCAGCUUUCGUUUUACAUAUGCUUUAUUCAUCCGACUGAUUCCAAUAGAGUGAGCCUAGCGUUGUUUUUCUGGAAACUCGCGGGAUAAGGAGACAUGCAUACACAUUCUUUCAAGCAAAUCACAUCCAUCCUUUUUAACUCAUUUUUCUUCUUUUAAUAAUAUAAUAGAUCAUUUAUAUUUUUAUCUGAAACAGUUGACGUGUAAUUUAUAUUGUAAUCUGAGGAUAAUGUUUGGAUUUUACUUUCAAAUAUAUUUGAAAUGGCCAUGAUGGAAUCACAUCCAUUUAUUUUAUUAUUAUUUGAAUUUGAUCCAAAAGAUAAAUAAUGAGUAGAGGUCAUGUCAACUUUUCUGAGAACUUUGCUAAUCAAAAUAUAAUUGUAUUUAAAAACAUCUAUUUUUUAGCACGCAUGAAAAAGAUAACACGUAUCUUUUCACACAUAAUGAACGGUUGUCAUAAGAACUCAUGCCAUGCCACAACCUCCCUCCGACCCUGCCAACAUUGUUGCAGCUGCACUCGCAAGCCUUAGCGUAGAUGAUAAUUUAUACAAUUUGCGUAAAACAAAAUAAGAUCUACAAAUGAAUAGAAGCUAGAACGUACAUUGGCAUGCACACACAUUGCAAGCCAUACUAAGCUGAUAAGUGUUAAUAACUUGUACAACAUAUACAACACUUAAGACAAGUAAAAGCAAUUUGAUGAGUCAUGGUCUAUCAAAGCCACAUUACUAGUCUAAUCCAUCUUAACAGGUCACACAUGAUUAAAAUCUUGUUUGUGUGCAAGUCAAGCUUAUCUAGUUUACAUGUAACAACUUGUAGAACAUUACAAAAUUUAUGUUUGCUAAUAACUUCUAGAACACUACAACACUUGACAUGUAAAAGGAAUUUGAUGAGUUAGCGUACUAAAGCAAGUUAUAUUACUAGUCUUAUCUACCUUAACAGGCCACACAAGAUUACAAACCAAGUUCUGUGCCAGCCAUGCUUAUCUAGAUUAUGCGUAACAAUUUGCAGAAAAUUACAAACUUAGUUUCAGAAAAAUAGGCAAUCUAGAUUAGUGUUUGAGCUGUAAAGUGAGUAAAAUGAGUCAUGCGUGUUAUCACACCUUUUUGGUUGUGGAAUGAUAGUGCAACAACAAGGAACUUUAAUGACCAGUUCAAGAAUACACUUGUAAGUAGUGCCACCGAACACAACAUACCAAAUUAUGAUUUUGAGAAGCAUCCAAGCACUUCCACACAAGCAAAUGCCAAUUGUGAAAGAGAUCAUGCCAUGGCAGCUAUAAAUAGGCCCGUAGCAUGACGAUCAUCCUUCCUCAUCCAUCAUUCUCAUAAGUAGAGCGCAUCAUUUAAGCCAAGCAAGCAGUGCUCAAUACAAAUCCACCAUGAAGACCUUUCUCAUCCUUGCCCUCCUUGCUAUUGUAGCAACCACCGCCACAAUUGCAGUUAGAGUUCCAGUGCCACAAUUGCAGCCACAAAAUCCAUCUCAGCAACAACCACAAGAGCAAGUUCCAUUGGUACAACAACAACAAUUUCCAGGGCAGCAACAACCAUUUCCACCACAACAGCCAUAUCCGCAGCCGCAACCAUUUCCAUCACAACAACCAUAUCUGCAGCUGCAACCAUUUCCGCAGCCGCAACUACCAUAUCCGCAGCCGCAACUACCAUAUCCGCAGCCGCAACCAUUUCGACCACAACAACCAUAUCCACAACCGCAACCACAGUAUUCGCAACCACAACAACCAAUUUCGCAGCAGCAGCAGCAGCAGCAACAACAACAACAACAAAAACAACAACAACAACAACAACAACAGAUCCUUCAACAAAUUUUGCAACAACAACUGAUUCCAUGCAGGGAUGUUGUAUUGCAACAACACAGCAUAGCGUAUGGAAGCUCACAAGUUUUGCAACAAAGUACUUACCAGCUGGUGCAACAAUUGUGUUGUCAGCAGCUGUGGCAGAUCCCCGAGCAGUCGCGGUGCCAAGCCAUCCACAAUGUUGUUCAUGCUAUUAUUCUGCAUCAACAGCAACAACAACAACAACAACAACAACAACCGUUGAGCCAGGUCUCCUUCCAACAGCCUCAACAACAAUAACCAUCAGGCCAGGGCUCCUUCCAGCCAUCUCAGCAAAACCCACAGGCCCAGGGCUCUGUCCAGCCUCAACAACUGCCCCAGUUUGAGGAAAUAAGGAACCUAGCGCUAGAGACGCUACCUGCAAUGUGCAAUGUCUAUAUCCCUCCAUAUUGCACCAUUGCUCCAGUUGGCAUCUUCGGUACUAACUGAGAAGAGAAGAACUCUAGUAGUAGAUAUAUGAUACACCGUUUUCUUAGUCCAUGGUUUGGUCGUUGUAGCGGUGAAAAAAUAAAGUGACAUGCACUAUCAUGUAAGAACCCGAACUAUACUAGUUCAAACAUGGGAAUAAAAGACAAACACAUGUCUUGUCUACAUAUGAUUGUUUGUUUGAGUUCCACUCAUGUGCCCACUCACAAGUUCACCCCUAAUUAUAUAUAUUAUGCAUUAAGUAGAUAUUUAUGUUGCAUUAAUCUAAAGAUAACAAAAUGAGUCUGAAAUUUGAAUUAAAUUGAAGUAUUUCCUUGGACUUUCAAAUGGAGUAUUAUUAAAGUAGUAAGGACUAUCCACAUCCUUGGCUUGCCCUUGAUCAAUUAUUUCCAGAGAAGCAUUCAAUUCAUUAAUCAAUUACAUUGAUUUUUGUGGCUGAUACUUUUCCUCAACAUGAGUAUAUUCAUCGCGGCUACUCCAAAUAGGCAUGAAUGAGGUACCGGUGCUCUGGAGCACUGGUACCUAACUGCUUCUCAUGUGAAGGGGUGGGGGUGCGGGAGAGGUGUUUUUGGUGGGCCAGGGGAGUAAGAAGCGGCCGUGGCAGCGGUCCAGACACCCACAAAGCCCCGUAGUUUGUUUUUGGUUUACAGGAAAAUGCACAUCCAGACCGGCCUGCGGGCCGAUAUAGGACCGUAUUGAAUGGCAAAACAUGUCCGGAUGGUUGCGAGCGGUUUAAGGGUUAGCUUUUGUAACGGCCGGUUAGUUAUGCUAUGGUAAUUCCCUGCUAAUGAUGUCACGUCAGCACGAUUACUGUUGUUAACCUCACAAUGAUUCAAUCCCAUUCAAAUUCAAAUUUAAAAUAAAGGCAAACAUCAAAAGUUUCAAACAUUAAAACUAAAAUCUUCGAGAGGUGAAAAAUAAUGCAUAAGUAAUUAUGGUGGAGAAACCACACUUUUAUAAAAUGUUUAAAUACUCUAAAAAUAAUAAAACAGUGGCUUAAACUAUUAUUUAAAUGCUUUUAAAAUAGUAAAAAUGUUCUAACUAAAUUAAUUGGGUACCAAACUUUUGGUGGCAGUGGUAUAUUUAGUAGAACUAAUUUAGAUGCUAAUAAAACAUAAAAGGAAAGACAAAACAAAUAAAAGUAAAAGGGGGCAACCCCUCGCUGGGCCUCGGCCAAGCUGGCCACUGGGCUAGCUAGGUUGGCCCAACCGCCUCCCUUAACCCCCCACUCCCCAUCGAACCCUAGACCGAUCGCCCCACUUCCCCACACCCCCUCGUCAGCCUCCCCACCUCUCGAUCCCAUCUGGAUCGGGGAGGGGAUCGCCCCCAUCGACCCCGUCGCGGUCGCUGGAUCGCCCGCUCGCCCAUCGCCCGCCGGCGUCGCCGGACCUCCUCCCCGUCGCACGUCUCCGGCUCUCCUCCCCUCUCGCUCCUCUUCCCCGACCCGAUCUGGAUCGGGAAGGGCCAAUGAGCCCAACGCCCCCCUCCAUCGACGCUGUGCUCCAGCACCGCCGCCCGAAGACCUCGCCAUCGCCGGACCUCGCGUCGCCUCCUCGUAUCCCUCCCCGACUCGCCUCCUCAAGCCACGCCGACCCCCUUCUCGGCAACGCUGUGAGCCGCCUCCGUUUCCCUCCUUCUCUUUCCACCGUGUUCACCGCGCCGCCUGCCGUGCCCCUCGCCGCGCGCACGCCCACCACCGCGCCAGCCCCCGCUCCGCGCCCUCUCCUGCACGCUUGUGCGCGCAUGACCCUAGCCGCGCCCACGCCGUGAUCCCCUUGUCCCGCCCGCCUUCGUCCCGCGCUCGCCGCGGCCCCCAUGCUCCCCUGCGCCCUCUUUUGGGGUCGUCGGCUGCCCCUGUCCCGCAGCUCGCUGGCAUGCGUCCCC